UGACGUGCUGCAGCUAGAGUGCUAGGUUACAGUUGUUGUUGGCAAUAAGAAUGCAUUUGUGCCUUAUCAUGUGUGGAAACUGUGGCUUGACAUGGUAUUUGGUUGUACAUUUGUAGUGGUGGUGGUAGUGAGUCAGCUGAUUGCAGUUUGUAGCCAAAUCAUUUAUUGUUAUGAAUGCAUGUGGUGCAAACGGGUUGUAUGAAGAAUGAGAACAAGGAGGAACUAGGUAGCAUAUAUCCAUUAAGAGGAAAUUCAGGCAAAACAAAGAAAUUUUCGGAAAGGCUCCAAUCUCAGUGUCACUAGAACAAGCCUCCUUGAUGUAUCUUUUUUGGUAAACUGAAUGUACGAAGAGACUUCACGCGGGUGGUUAUAAAGCCGAGCCGACGGAAUAUACGGGGCAACUCUUGAUGCAAAGCAAAUACACAAAAUAAGAUUGUGUUUGGUUAUAAAGUAUAGAUUUUCCAGCUUUCUCCGUCCCUUAAUAUUUCUCCGUCCCUUAAUAUAAGACGGCUUUUUGCAGUGACGGUGGUAGUGUUCCUUAAACUGAUAAAAUAGGUAUGUGUCCAAUUAAUAUUUGGUUACCAAAUAUAAGAGAUUUACCAGGUUACCAAAUAUAUUAGAUAUUGAUUGAUACUUAUCAAGUACAUAUGUAAAAUAUUGAUUGAUACUACUCCCUCCAUCACAGUUUAGAAGGCACAGUUAAAUUUGCGUGCGUUUCCAUAAUAGACAAGGUUUAGGGCGCAUUGCAUUUAUUUCUAGUACUAAUUAGUACUCCGGAGUACUAUUUCUAUAUGCAUGCAUAGUGUGAAUGCUAUUUUUUAGCCCAUCUCACAACCAAUAGAUAACCACCUAGGUCCGAGAGAAUUUCCAAGCAAGCCUUCUAAACCGUGACGGAGGUAGUAGUAUUUAUUUGCUUCUGGAUUGUGAAUUUAUUACUACUAGCUGAAUGCCCGUGCGUUGCUACGGAGACACAAUUAUCUACUCCCUCUGUUCCUAAAUAUAAGUCUUUCUAGAGAUUUCAUUAUGGACUACAUACGAAGCAAAAUGAGUGAAUCUACACUCUAAAUUAUGUCUAUAUACAUCCGUAUGUAGUUUGUAAUGGAAUCUCUAAAAAGACUUAUAUUUAGGAACGGAGGGAGUAUCUGUUAACACCAAGGAUAUCAAGCCAAUACCAAAUCAUCACCUUAAUCUUGAAUACCAGACACCGUGUCAUGCAUACAUAUUUCUCAAGGAUAUCAAACCAAUAUGAAAUCAUCACCUUAGUUUUGAAUACCAGACACCAUGUCAUGCAUACAUAUUCCUACAUAUAAGCCUUUUUAGAAAUUCCAAUAUUGACUACAUACAUAGCAAAAUGAGUGAAUCUAUAUUCUAAAAUAUGUCUAUAUACAUCCAUAUGUAGUUCGUAUUGAAAUCUCUAAAAGGGCUUAUAUUUAGAAACAGAGGGAGUAUUUUCCAAGGAUAUCAAGCCAAUAUCAAUCACCCUAGUUUUGAAUACCACAUAGGGUGUUAUGCAUACAUAUUCCAGCUCAACUUGAAUGAUUACCCAUAUAAAACAGACACGAAAUCUCUUCUCAAGAAUAAGGAUGUGCCCUUAUAGAAGAUAAAUGGUUUUUUUAUAGAUAAACAAUAAUGGUUAUGUCAGCAUAAAGCAGAUCCAUACAUGGAGUUACAAGAGAGAAAAAUGAUACAUGUAGUAGCUACUUGUGAGCGAAGAGAAAUUUGACUAUAUAUUUUUUUGUUCAGCCUUGUAUAUUGGUAUUGUACUCCUUGACUAUAUAGGUUUGCCCUUGCUCCUUGGGAUUCCAGCCAUACCUUAUCCUUUUGUGAACUAAAAAAUAAAAAUUAUCAGAGAUCAUCCAUACGACUCUACCAAUUAUUACGAAAACCAGGCACUACAUACAUAGAACUAAAUUAUUCUCAAACAAUGCCGAGCCAUUAAUUGCAUGAGAGAUUUUAUAUCCCUCCAAAUAGUCCGUCCAACCUGCAAUUUCCAUUGACCAUAGAGAAAAUAGAUGCAAAGAGCCAGCCUUUUUUCCUCCUCCAUCCAGCACUGAGAUGACAAAGUAAACACUAUAAACUACAGGAAGGAUCAGCCACUUUGAUCCGAAAUUCUGACUAUCCAUGUUAAAGAAAUGUAUUUAUGAGCUUAUUUGACAAGAGUAAAUCUUCCGGAAUUAGAUGUAGAAAAUAUGAACACCUUCCUGUCUAUGAGGAGGAACCUAAACAAGCCUGCAGUUGUGUUCUUUUUAGGGCAUCAUCAUAUAUAUAACAGAACCUAAAUCAAGUCAGAUGUGUUCUUUUUAGGGCAUCUACCUGCUAAAUCAAGUUGUAGGAUAUAUAUAAGAGGAAGGGCCAGAAUGAUUUUGAAUGCCUAGCUACAACUCACGUCUAUAGAAAGACAUUCCAAAGUGAAGCGUGGAUCCAGCUCGUAAAAUAUAUACUCCCUCCGUUCCGAAUUACUUGUCUUGAAUUUGUCUAGAUACAGAUGUAUCUAGACUCAUUUUAGUGCUAGAUACUUCUGUAUCUAGACAAAUCCAAGACAAGUAAUUUAGAACGGAGGGAGUAUAUUACAAAGAAGAAUGGGUGGAAGACGAAAUUGAGUAUUAUACUACUUUCAUUAGUACUUUAUACCAUAACGCGGCAAAACAAAAAAUUACUGCAGAUUUCAGUGGCAUAAAAAAUCUUCUAUUUUACUACUUUCCUCGGAAUUUUGNNNNNNNNNNNNNNNNNNNNNNNNNNNNNNNNNNNNNNNNNNNNNNNNNNNNNNNNNNNNNNNNNNNNNNNNNNNNNNNNNNNNNNNNNNNNNNNNNNNNNNNNNNNNNNNNNNNNNNNNNNNNNNNNNNNNNNNNNNNNNNNNNNNNNNNNNNNNNNNNNNNNNNNNNNNNNNNNNNNNNNNNNNNNNNNNNNNNNNNNNNNNNNNNNNNNNNNNNNNNNNNNNNNNNNNNNNNNNNNNNNNNNNNNNNNNNNNNNNNNNNNNNNNNNNNNNNNNNNNNNNNNNNNNNNNNNNNNNNNNNNNNNNNNNNNNNNNNNNNNNNNNNNNNNNNNNNNNNNNNNNNNNNNNNNNNNNNNNNNNNNNNNNNNNNNNNNNNNNNNNNNNNNNNNNNNNNNNNNNNNNNNNNNNNNNNNNNNNNNNNNNNNNNCCAUCACCUGGGUCUCCAAAUAAAAAACUACUCCAUCCGUCCCAAAUUAAGUGUCUCAACUUUAUACUAAUUUUAAUAGUAAGUUGUACUAAAGUGUCUCAACUUUGUACUAAUUUUAGUAGUAAGUUGUACUAAAGUUGAGACAUUUAUUUUGGGACGGGGAGAGUACCGUUUACUGCCGGUCUACAACCAUACCACUUGUUAGAGUUAAAAACAUGAACAAAUAAUGCAAUUCUUAUUCAAGCAAAACAGAUAAUAAAAUUUAGCACGAUAUGUAUAUCUCCAUUCAUGAUGAAAGAAAUCAAAGAGAGGCAAUAUUGACCUUCCAUUUGAUGUAUUCGAUGGAGUGAAGCAUGUCGAUGUCGCAAUGGCGUCUACUUAGGCAUAUAUCUACACUUUCAGAUUUUGGCAGAGAAGUUUUUAACCUCACUGAGUCGUUAGCAUUGAGUAGGGCAGCCAGAACGCAAUAUGUAGAAAACUGCAUUGAGUUAGUCAUGAGAAAGAACUAUAGGUUUAAGUGUUUUUCAUCACAUUCUCCUGAAAGGUAGCUAAAAGUUUCAAGUAUAUAGAACCAUUGACUCAUGUUUUAGAUGUCUAUAACGUUAAGCAUGCAACCAAAAGUAUAUAGCAACCUUUUGGAACUGUACUAUAACAUUCACGAAUCAAGAUUCAGUGGCUGAAGAGUGGGGCAGAAAAAUGUUUAAUACCUAGUUCUUGACAGCCUUGUGCAUGACAGUAUUCUGGGGGAACGCGACAGACUUGUCCUUCUUCCAUGUCUUGGUUGUCAAGACUCAAGAGACGAAAGAAGGACAAGCGUAGAGCGUGGGUUCGAUUGGACCAUGGCUCCACUCAAUGCCAUCUCCUUAUCAGUAGUUAGCUAUGUGCCGUCAGUCUUCUUGUUUACCAGGACUGAAAAACACACCAACCACCAAACAGAUCUGCCAAUUCAUCUGACCAAGAGAUAGCAACAACUACUAACCAGAGUGCUUGUCAGAGUGGUCAAUGUAAAACUUGUUAGGCUUCAUGACUGAACAAAACCUUGGCAUUACUCUAGCUGAACUGCUAGAUUAGGAAACAAAUGUUCCUCUUGACAAGCUCCCAGGCGAGAUUGUCCGGAACCGUCACCAUUUAUCUGUUCCUAAAAAAUCAUAUCAACCAAUGAAUAUGAAACCCAUCAGAAAAAAGUGUAAGGAUUCUCAAGUUUCUAUCUCACAUAGCCGAUAGCUUCUGCAUAGUGGUAACGACUGGUGUUCCUGCUCGUGGCUGCACUGAAGUGCGUGAUGAAGGCAGACGGUCUGCCGACGCUCUUUGUUAUGAGAUAGCCGCAAGAGGCUGCAGACCGUCAUGGGCGGCAUCAGGGUGAGAUGCAUCAACGGCUGGAAGCAGGCAAGGAAGUGGACGGGCCAUACCUCUUUGGAAGGAAGCACCACAGUCCUAGCAGCAGCAGCGUGACCCCACCACGGCACCACGCGCCAGAACCAUGGCCUUCUCUUUCCCUGUGGGCAUUAUGUUGGGGAACGUAGCAGAAAUUCAAAAAUUUCCUACGUGUCACCAAGAUCUAUCUAUGGAGAAACCAGCAACGAGGGGAAGGAGAGUGCAUCUACAUACCCUUGUAGAUCGUUAAGCGGAAGCGUUCAAGAGAACGGGGUUGAAGGAGUCGUACUCGUCGUGAUCCAAAUCACCGGAGAUCCUAGUGCCGAACGGACGGCACCUCCGCGUUCAACACACGUACAGCCCGGUGACGUCUCCCAUGCCUUGAUCCAGCAAGGAGAGAGGGAGAGGUUGAGGAAGACUCCAUCCAGCAGCAGCACAACGGCGUGGUGGUGGUGGAGGAGCGUGGCAAUCCUACAGGGCUUCGCCAAGCACCUACGGGAGAGGAGGAGGUGUCACAGGAGGGAGGGAGGCGCCAGGGCUUCAGGUAUGGAUGCCCUUCCUCCCCUCCACUAUAUAUAGGGGCAAGGGAGAGGGGGGAGGCGCAGCCUUGCCCCUUCCUCCAAGGAAGGGGUGCGGCCAAGAGGGGGGGAGGAGUCCAUCCUCCCCAAGGCACCUCGGAGGUGCCUUCCCCCUUGAGGACUCUUCCCUCCCCAAGUUUCCUUGGCGCAUGGGCCUCUUGGGGCUGGUGCCCUUGGCCCAUAUAGGCCAAGGCGCACCCCCUACAGCCCAUGUGGCCCCCCGGGGCAGGUGGACCCCCCCCCGGUGGACCCCCGGACCCCUUUCGGCACUCCCGGUACAAUACCGAUAAAGUGCGAAACUUUUCCGACGACCAAAAUAAGACUUUCCAUAUAUAAAUCUUUACCUCCGGACCAUUCCGGAACUCCUCGUGACGUCCGGGAUCUCAUCCGGGACUCCCAACAACAUUCGGUAACCACAUACAAACUUCCUUUAUAACCCUAGCGUCAUCGAACCUUAAGUGUGUAGACCCUACUGGUUCGGGAACCAUGCAGACAUGACCGAGACGUUCUCCGGUCAAUAACCAACAGCGGGAUCUGGAUACCCAUGUUGGCUCCCACAUGUUCCACGAUGAUCUCAUCGGAUGAACCAUGAUGUCAAGGACUCAAUCGAUCCCGUAUACAAUUCCCUUUGUCUAGCAGUAUUUUACUUGCCCGAGAUUCGAUCGUCGGUAUACCGAUACCUUGUUCAAUCUCGUUACCGGCAAGACUCUUUACUCGUUCCGUAACACAUCAUCCCGUGAUCAACCCCUUGGUCACAUUGUGCACAUUAUGAUGAUGUCCUACCGAGUGGGCCCAGAGAUACCUCUCCAUUUACACGGAGUGACAAAUCCCAGUCUCGAUUCGUGCCAACCCAACAGACACUUUCGGAGAUACCUGUAAUGCACCUUUAUAGCCACCCAGUUACGUUGUGACGUUUGGUACACCCAAAGCAUUCCUACGGUAUCCGGGAGUUGCACAAUCUCAUGGUCUAAGGAAAAGAUACUUGACAUUAGAAAAGCUUUAGCAUGCGAACUACACGAUCUUUGUGCUAGGCUUAGGAUUGGGUCUUGUUCAUCACAUCAUUCUCCUAAUGAUGUGAUCCCGUUAUCAACGACAUCCAAUGUCCAUAGCCAGGAAACAUGACUAUCUGUUGAUCACAACGAGCUAGUCAACUAGAGGCUCACUAGGGACAUAUUGUGGUCUAUGUAUUCACACGUGUAUUACGAUUUCUGGAUAAUACAGUUAUAGCAUGAAUAAAAGACUAUUAUCAUGAACAAAGAAAUAUAAUAAUAACACUUUUAUUAUUGCCUCUAGGGCAUAUUUCCAACAGUCUCCCACUUGCACUAGAGUCAAUAAUCUAGUUCACAUCACCAUGUGAUUAACACUGACAGGUCACAUCACCAUGUGACCAAUAUCCAAAGAGUUUACUAGUGUCACCAAACUAGUUCACAUCAUCAUGUGAUUAAGACUCAAUGAGUUCUGGGGUUUGAUCAUGUUCUGCUCGUGAGAGAGGUUUUAGUCAACGGGUCUGCAACAUCCAGAUCCGUAUGUACUUCGCAAAUCUCUAGGUCAUAUUGUAAAUGCUGCUUCCACGCUCCACUUGGAGCUAUUCCAAAUGGUUGUUCCACUAUACGUAUCCGGUUUGCUACUCAGAGUCACUCGGAUAGGUGUUAAAGCUUGCAUCGACGUAACCCUUUAUGUCGAACUCUUUAUCACCUCCAUAAUCGAGAAACAUAUCCUUAUUCCUCUAAGGAUAACUUUGACCGCCAUCUAGUGAUCCACUCCUUGAUCACCUUUGUACCCUCUUGCCAGACAAGCGGCAAGGCACACAUCAGGUGCGGUACUUAGCAUGGCAUACUGUAGAGCCUACGUCUAAAGCAUAGGGGACGACCUUCGUCCUUUCUCUCUUUUUUGCCGUGGUCGAGCUUUAACUCUUAACUUCAUACCUUACAUCUCAGGCAAGAACUCCCUUUUUGACUGAUCCAUCUUGAACACCUUCAAGAUCAUGUCAAGGUAAGUGCUCAUUUGAAAGUACCAUUAAGCGUUUUUUGAUCUAUCCUCAUAGAUCUUGAUGCUCAAUGUUCAAGUAGCUUAAUCCAGGUUUUCUAUUGAAAAACACCUUUCAAAUAACCCUAUAUGCUUUCUAGAAAUUCUACAUCAUUUCUGAUCAUCAAUAUGUCAACAAUAUAUACUCAUCAGAAAUUCUAUAGUGCUCCCACUCACUUCUUUGGAAAUACAAGUUUCUCAUAAACUUUGUAUAAAUCCAAAAUCUUUGAUCAUCUCAUCAAAGCGUACAUUCCAACUCCGAGAUGCUUACUCCAGUCCAUAGAAGGAUCGCUGGAGCUAGCAUACCUUUUAGCAUCCUCAGGAUCGACCAAACCUUUCUGAUUGUAUCACAUACAACCUUUCCUUACGAAAACUGGUAAGGAAACUUGUCUUGACAUCCAUCUGCCAGAUUUCAUAAAUGCAGCUUGUGCUAAUAUGAUUCCGACGGACUUUAAGCAUCGCUACGGAUGACAAAAUCUCAUCGUAGUCAACUCCUUGAACUUGUGAAAAACUCUUCGCCACAAGUCGAGCUUCAUAGAUGGUGACAUUACCAUCCACGUCUGUCUUCUUCUUAAAGAUCCAUUUAUCUCAAUGGCUUGCCGAUCAUCGGGCAAGUCCACUAAAGUCCAUGCUUUGUUCUGAUACAUGGAUCCUAUCUCGGAUUUCAUGGCUUCUAACCAUUUGUUGGAAUUUGGGCCCACCGUCGCUUCUCCAUAGCUCGUAGGUUCAUUGUUGUCUAGCAACAUGACCUUCAAGACAGGAUUACUGUACCACUCUGAAGUAGUACGUAUCCUUGUCACCCUACGAGGUACGGUAGUGACUUGAUCCGAAACUUCAUGAUCACUAUCAUAAGCUUAUACUUCAAUUGGUGUAGGUGCCACAGGAACAACUUCCUGUGCCCUGCUACACACUGGUUGAAGUGAUGGUUCAAUAACCUCAUCAAGUCUCCACCAUCCUCCCACUCAACUUUUCGAGACAAACUUUUCCUCGAGAAAGGACCCGGUUCAAGAAACAAUCCCUAUUGCUUUCAAAUCUGAAUUAGGAGGUAUACCCAACUGUUUUGGGUGUCCUAUGAAGAUGCAUUUUAUCCGUUUUGGGUUCGAGCUUAUCAAUCUGAAACUUUUCACAUAAGCGUCGCAGCCCCAAACCUUUAAGAAAUGACAACUUAGGUUUCUCCAAACCAUAAUUCAAACGUUGUCGUCUCAACGGAAUUAUGUGGUACCCUAUUAAAGUGAGUGCGGUUGUCUCUAAUGCCUAACCCAUGAAUAAUAGUGGUAAUUCGAUAAGUGACAUCAAGGUACGCACCAUAUCCAAUAGGGUGCAACUAUGAUGUUCGGACGCACCAUCACACUAUGGUGUUCCAGGCGGUAUUAAUUGUAAAACAAUUUCCACAAUGUCUUAAUUGCGUGCCAAAGCUCAUAACUCAGAUACUCAUCUCUAUGAUCAUAUCAUAGACAUUUUAUCCUCUUGUCACGACGAUCUUCAACUUCACUCUGAAAUUACUUGAACCAUUCAAUAAUUCAGACUUGUGUUUCAUCAAGUAAAUAUACUCAACAUCUACUCAAAUCAUCUAUGAAGUAAGAACAUAACGAUAUUCACUGCAUGCCUCAGCACUCAUUGGACUGCACACAUCAAAAUGUGUUACUUCCAACAAGUUGCUAUCUUGUUCCAUCUCACUGAAACAAGGCUUUUCAGUCAUCUUGCCUAUGUGGUAUGAUUUACAUAUCUCAAGUGAUUCAAAAUCAAGUGAGUCUAAACGACCCAUUUGCAUGGAGUUUCUUCAUGCGUAUACACCAAUAGACAUGGUUCGCAUGUCUCAAACUUUUAAAAACGAGUGAGUCCAAAGAUCCAUCAACAUGGAGCUUCUUCAUGCGUUUUACACCAUUAUGACUUACAUGGCAGUGCCACAAGUAAGUGGUACUAUCAUUACUAUCUUAUAUCCUUUUUGGCAUGAAAAUGUGUAUCACUACGAUCGAGAUUCAAUAAACCAUUCCUUUAGGUGCAAGACCAUUGAAGGUAUUAUUCAAAUAAAUAGAGUAACCAUUAUUCUCCUUAAAUGAAUAACCGUAUUGCGAUAGACAUAAUCCAAUCAUGUCUAUGCUCAACGCAAACACCAAAUCUCGAUGGUAGAGGGAGCGUGCGAUGCUUGAUCACAUCAACCUUGGAAACACUUCCAACACAUAUCGUCAGCUCACCUUUAGCUAGUCUCCGUUUAUUCCGUAGCUUUUAUUUCGAGUUACUAACACUUAGCAACCGAACCGGUAUCUCAAUACCCUGGUGCUACUAGGAGUACUAGUAAAGUACACAUUAACAUAAUGUAUAUCCAAUAUACUUCUAUCGACCUUGCCAGCCUUCUCAUCUACCAAGUAUCUAGGGUAAUUCUGCUCCAGUGGUUAUUCCCCUUAUUACAGAAGCACUUAGUUUCGGGUUUGGGUUCAACCUUGGGUUUCUUCACUAGAGCAGCAGCUGAUUUGCUGUUUCAUGAAGUAUCCCUUCUUGCCCUUGCCCUUCUUGAAACUAGUGGUUUCACCAACCAUCAACAAUUGAUGCUCCUUCUUGAUUUCUACUUUCGCGAUGCCAAACAACGCGAAUACCUCAAGGAUCAUCAUCUCUAUCCUUGAUAUGUUAUAGUUCAUCAUGAAGCUCUAGCAGCUUGGUGGCAAUGACUUUGGAGAAACAUCACUAUCUCAUCUGGAAGAUCAACUCCCACUCGAUUCAAGUGAUUGUUGCACUCAGACAAUCUGAGCACAAGCUCAACGAUUGAGCUUUUCUCCCUUAGUUUGUAGGCUAAGAAAAUCGUCGGAGGUCUCAUACCUCUUGACGUGGGCACAAGCCUGAAAUCCCAAUUUCAGCCCUCGAAACAUCUCAUAUGUUCCGCGACGUUUCGAAAACGUCUUUGGUGCCUCUACUUAAACCAUUUAACUGAACUAUCACGUAGUUAUCAAAACAUGUAUGUCCGAUGUUCGCAACAUCGAUAAACGACGUUUGGGGUUCAGCACACUGAGCGGUGCAUUAAGGACAUAAGCUGUCUACUGUCCGCAUAAUCGCUACUUUCAACUUUCAACUAUAUUUUCUCUAGGAACAUAUCUAAACAGUGGAACUAAAGUGCGAGCUUACGACAUAAUUUGCAAAGAUCUUUUGACUAUGUUCAGGAUAAUUAAGUUCAUCUUAUGAACUCCCACUCAGAUAGACAUCCCUCUGGUCAUCUAAGUGAUUACAUGAUCCGAGUCAACUAGGCCGUGUCCGAUCAUCACGUGAGACGGACUAGUCAUCAUCGGUGAACAUCUUCAUGUUGAUCGUAUCUACUAUACGACUCAUGCUCGACCUUUCGGUCUCCGUGUUCCGAGGCCAUGUCUGUACAUGUUAGGCUCGUCAAGUUAACCCUAAGUGUAUUGCAUGUGUAAAUCUGUCUUACACCCGUUGUAUGUGAACGUAAGGAUCUAUCACACCCGAUCAUCACGUGGUGCUUCGAAGCGACGAACUUUAGCAACGGUGCACAGUUAGGGGAGAACACUUCUUGAAAUUGGUGUAAGGGAUCAUCUUAUUUACUACCGUCGUUCUAAGUAAACAAGAUGCAUAAACAUAAUAAACAUCACAUGCAAUUAUAUAGUAGUGACAUGAUAUGGCCAAUAUCAUGUAGCUCCAUUGAUCUCCAUCUUCGGGGCUCCAUGAUCAUCAUCGUCACCGGCAUGACACCAUGAUCUCCAUCAUCAUGAUCUCCAUCAUCGUGUCUUCAUGAAGUUGUCUCGCCAACUAUUACUUCUACUACUAUGGCUACCGGUUAGCAAUAAAGUAAAGUAAUUACAUGGCGUUGUUUAAUGACACGCAGGUCAUACAGUAAAUUAAGACAACUCCUAUGGCUCCUGCCAGUUGUCAUACUCAUCGACAUGCAAGUCGUGAUUCCUAUUACAAGAACAUGAUCAAUCUCAUACAUCACAUAUAUUCAUCACAUUCUUCUUGGCCAUAUCACAUCACAUAGCAUACCCUGCAAAAACAAGUUAGACGUCCUCUAAUUAUUGUUUGCAUGUUUUACGUGGCUGCUAUGGGUUUCUAGUAAGAACGUUUCUUACCUAUGCAAAAACCACAACGUGAUAUGCCAAUUGCUAUUUACCCUUCAUAAGGACCCAUUUCAUCGAAUCCGUUCCGACUAAAGUGGGAGAGACUGGCACCCGCUAGCCACCUUAUGCACCAAGUGCAUGUCAGUCGGUGGAACCUGUCUCACAUAAGAGUACGUGUAAGGUCGGUCCGAGCCGCUUGAUCCCACAAUACCGUCGAAACAAGAUUGGACUAGUAACGGUAAGCAUAUUGAACAACAUCAACGCCCACAACUACUUUGUGUUCUACUCGUGUAAAGAAUCUACGCAAUAGACCUAGCUCAUGAUGCCACUGUUGGGGAACGUAGCAGAAAUUCAAAAAUUUCCUACGUGUCACCAAGAUCUAUCUAUGGAGAAACCAGCAACGAGGGGAAGGAGAGUGCAUCUACAUACCCUUGUAGAUCGCUAAGCGGAAGCGUUCAAGAGAACGAGGUUGAAGGAGUCGUACUCGUCGUGAUCCAAAUCACCGGAGAUCCUAGUGCCGAAUGGACGGCACCUCCGCGUUCAACACACGUACAGCCCGGUGACGUCUCCCAUGCCUUGAUCCAGCAAGGAGAGAGGGAGAGAUUGAGGAAGACUCCAUCCAGCAGCAGCACAACGGCGUGGUGGUGGUGGAGGAGCGUGGCAAUCCUGCAGGGCUUCGCCAAGCACCUACGGGAGAGGAGGAGGUGUCACGGGAGGGAGGGAGGCGCCAGGGCUUCAGGUAUGGAUGCCCUCCCUCCCCUCCACUAUAUAUAGGGGCAAGGGAGAGGGAGGAGGCGCAGCCUUGCCCCUUCCUCCAAGGAAGGGGUGCGGCCAAGAGGGGGGGAGGAGUCCAUCCUCCCCAAGGCACCUCGGAGGUGCCUUCCCCCUUGAGGACUCUUCCCUCCCCAAGUUUCCUUGGCGCAUGGGCCUCUUGGGGCUGGUGCCCUUGGCCCAUAUAGGCCAAGGCGCACCCCCUACAGCCCAUGUGCCCCCCCGGGGCAGGUGGACCCCCNNNNNNNNNNNNNNNNNNNNNNNNNNNNNNNNNNNNNNNNNNNNNNNNNNNNNNNNNNNNNNNNNNNNNNNNNNNNNNNNNNNNNNNNNNNNNNNNNNNNNNNNNNNNNNNNNNNNNNNNNNNNNNNNNNNNNNNNNNNNNNNNNNNNNNNNNNNNNNNNNNNNNNNNNNNNNNNNNNNNNNNNNNNNNNNNNNNNNNNNNNNNNNNNNNNNNNNNNNNNNNNNNNNNNNNNNNNNNNNNNNNNNNNNNNNNNNNNNNNNNNNNNNNNNNNNNNNNNNNNNNNNNNNNNNNNNNNNNNNNNNNNNNNNNGGCACUCCCGGUACAAUACCGAUAAAGUGCGAAACUUUUCCGGCGACCAAAAUAAGACUUUCCAUAUAUAAAUCUUUACCUCCGGACCAUUCCGGAACUCCUCGUGACGUCCGGGAUCUCUUCCGGGACUCCGAACAACAUUCGGUAACCACAUACAAACUUCCUUUAUAACCCUAGCGUCAUCGAACCUUAAGUGUGUAGACCCUACGGGUUCGGGAACCAUGCAGACAUGACCGAGACGUUCUCCGGUCAAUAACCAACAGCGGGAUCUGGAUACCCAUGUUGGCUCCCACAUGUUCCACGAUGAUCUCAUCGGAUGAACCACGAUGUCAAGGACUCAAUCGAUCCCGUAUACAAUUCCCUUUGUCUAGCGGUAUUUUACUUGCCCGAGAUUCGAUCACCGGUAUACCGAUACCUUGUUCAAUCUCGUUACCGGCAAGUCUCUUUACUCGUUCCGUAACACAUCAUCCCGUGAUCAACCCCUUGGUCACAUUGUGCACAUUAUGAUGAUGUCCUACCGAGUGGGCCCAGAGAUACCUCUCCGUUUACACGGAGUGACAAAUCCCAGUCUCGAUUCGUGCCAACCCAACAUACACUUUCGGAGAUACCUGUAAUGCACCUUUAUAGCCACCCAGUUACGUUGUGACGUUUGGUACACCCAAAGCAUUCCUACGGUAUUCGGGAGUUGCACAAUCUCAUGGUCUAAGGAAAAGAUACUUGACAUUAGAAAAGUUUUAGCAUACGAACUACACGAUCUUUGUGCUAGGCUUAGGAUUGGGUCUUGUCCAUCACAUCAUUCUCCUAAUGAUGUGAUCCCGUUAUCAACUACAUCCAAUGUCCAUAGCCAGGAAACAUGACUAUCUGUUGAUCACAACGAGCUAGUCAACUAGAGGCUCACUAGGGACAUAUUGUGGUCUAUGUAUUCACACGUGUAUUACGAUUUCCGGAUAAUACAGUUAUAGCAUAAAUAAAAGACUAUUAUCAUGAACAAAGAAAUAUAAUAAUAACACUUUUAUUAUUGCCUCUAGGGCAUAUUUCCAACACAUUAGGCCAGCACCGCCCGCUGCGCUCUUCUGCCGCUUGCUAGAUUUCCACCGGCGAUUACAUGUGUCCACCUGCUCCUCCCACGAUCCCACCGCCUCCCACCGUCCGUUGCCACAAACCGAUCUUUCGCCGACCGUUUCACUGCCACUCAGACGGCCCCUGCCAUGGGAGAGAAAACGUAGGGACCAGACAGUACAGGCUACGGGGAGAAGAUGGGUCGGAGGGAGGGUGAGAUAGCGUUACCUGGGCCUCAUUCAUCACGGCCAUGGGCGCGGCGCUCCUGCUCGUCUCCCUCCCCACGUCAAGUCCCUCCUCAAGUCGGUGAAGAACAGAUGAGAUUGGAAGGGCUUGGAUCCAUCGUUCCAGUCUAAUUUGGCUGCAGUGUGGAACCGCUCGAGGUCGCCAUAAGCGUGAGGAGGUCGGCAGCGGUGAUUCCUCUAUGGAGAGCAACGGGAUUGAGAUGGAGGGAUUUGGGGGAAGGGGAGUGGGAGGUGGUACGUGCGUACGUGCGCUGCACUGUUUUAUUUCCUUUUUCUUUUCUUCCUUCGUGCGACGGGUGGAGAGGAGCGAGGAGGUCCGCUUUUUUCGCGUGCUGGGAGAAGUUUACAUGCAAGAGGAGGCCUGGUUGAACCAUCACGACGACGGAAGAUUCCUCUUUAAUAGUAGAGAAGAUUUAUUGGGUUACCAAAGGUCGGCCGGCUCAGCUGAGUCAACCCACCCCCGCUAUCUCCGCUCCAUAUUUAUACAGCGGCAGCCACCAGUGCUCCUCCCCACCCCCUCGCUCGCUCGCUCGCUCAGUAGUGGUAGGCCGGCAGGAAGGCCCCGCCCGCUCACUAGUGGUAGGCCGGCAGGAAGGCUCACAGCUGCCUGCCAUCGACAACGCCCGGGAGCGCACGUCGUCCAUUGUUUCCAUGGCUCCGCCCCGCGCCGGCGCCGGCGCCGGCGCCGUGCUGCUCGUGGUGGUGGCGCUCCUCUUCGUCGACGCAGCAGCGGCCGGCGGCGGCGGCAUGAAGAUGGCGACACACGGCGAGGUGCGGUAUCGAUCCCCUGCCCGCGAGAUUACAAAUUUUACUAUUAUGCUGCAUGCUUUGCAGGAUGGUGUUGUAGUAUUUCAUUUUUGAGAGAGCUAGUUGAAACUGAUAGGAGGAGGCUUCACGUGGUGGGUAGCCGGCUAGGUAAGUCCAACCGGAGUCUAUCUGUAUCCCUGUUGCCUCCGUAUGGGCCUGAAACGGCUAGAUGUAUAUAUAGGGAAACAAAAUAGGAAAUCUAUUCUAUUCUUUUCAGCCGGCUGAUUACAGGCUCGUCUAAACCGCCCUCCCCGCACGACACGCGUCCCGCUGGGCCCUCCCACUGCCCAGCCUUAUCCCCUCAUCUGUAGCGUCACGAGAUCCACUGAUUUUUUCAUCAAACUCGAUCCCCUUAUGUUCUGCUCCGCACCUCUCUCUCCUACAGCUCUCUUCACCGUGGCCGUGGACAGAGUAAAUAGCAUAAAACUACUACUUUACAGGCUAGGGUUACAAAAAACUACCGGUUUUUAAUUUUUCUCAAAUAACUAUCAAGUCAGGGGUUGGCUGUUUCAAAAAACCCCAAAUUCUCUUUGUUAAAAAAUUAAACAAGUUUAUGAUAGGUCGGGCCCGCCACUAAACACACCGUUUGGUUGACCGUUUGUUUGACCGUUAACUGACUUGUGGGGGCCACAUGUCAGCGCAUCAUUAACAGAUUUUUUACAGAUUAGCCCCUACAAAUAUUUUUAAAAAGCAAUCGGGUCCCUGGAAUCAUUUUAAAAAAGCAAUCGGGUCCUUGGGCGCCGCCGCGCCUCCAAAGGCUCUGCCCGUGGUCGCCGUCGCACCAUGGGGCUUCGCCCUUGGUCGCCGCGCCUGUAGCCUGGGUGGCCGGGGUGGUCGACGGGCGCGCCGCCGUGGGGCGCCGGCUCAGGUCACCGCNNNNNNNNNNNNNNNNNNNNNNNNNNNNNNNNNNNNNNNNNNNNNNNNNNNNNNNNNNNNNNNNNNNNNNNNNNNNNNNNNNNNNNNNNNNNNNNNNNNNNNNNNNNNNNNNNNNNNNNNNNNNNNNNNNNNNNNNNNNNNNNNNNNNNNNNNNNNNNNNNNNNNNNNNNNNNNNNNNNNNNNNNNNNNNNNNNNNNNNNNNNNNNNNNNNNNNNNNNNNNNNNNNNNNNNNNNNNNNNNNNNNNNNNNNNNNNNNNNNNNNNNNNNNNNNNNNNNNNNNNNNNNNNNNNNNNNNNNNNNNNNNNNNNNNNNNNNNNNNNNNNNNNNNNNGACACAGAUGGCCUGCGUCGCCGCUGGAGUGUCGCGGACGAGGCCGGCCUCGUUGCAACCGUCGCCGCCAGGAGCUCCGACUUGGAGGGAGGUUCGCCGGCUUGGGAGGGGGAGGGGGUCGCCGGCUUGGGAGGGGGAGGGGGUCGCCAGCUCGGGAGGCAGAGAAAGAAGAAAGAGAAGUGGAAGAAGAAACUUACAUGUGGGCCCCACAUGUAAGUUAACGGUCAAACUAAGGUCAAACUAACGAUUUGUUUAGCUGUGGGCCCAACCUGUCAUAAUCGUGAUCAACUGAUAAAGACUCGAUGAUUUGGGUUUUUUGAAACAGCCGACCGCCCAUUUGGUAGUUACUCCCUCCGUAAACUAAUAUAAGAGCGUUUAGAAUACUAAAAUAGUGAUCUAAACGCUCUUAUAUUAGUUUACAGAGGGAGUAUCUGAGAAAAAUUAAAAACCGGUAGUUUUUUGAAACCCUAGCCUGCAAAGUAGUAGUUUUAUGCUAUUUACUCCCGUGGACACGAUCUAAGCUUCGCUGCCCUGCUGCCUCCCAAGCUCCACCACUAUGCUGCCCAAGCUCCAUGCGACCGGUGUUGCAUUGCAGCGCUCGUCGGUGACGCCGGCGCUAUGAUGCGGUGGUCGUCGAUAGCUGCGGCGGUGCAACAUGGUGGGCCGGUGGCUCCCAAGCUCCAACACGAUGUUGCCCAAGCUCCACACGACCGGUGUUGCGUUACAGCGUUCAUCGAUGAAGUCAGCGCUGCGACGCGGUGGUCCGCGGUUGCUGCCGGCGAUGCCGCCCUCGUCGGUCUUGCCAGCGCUGUGAUGCAGCACUCGCGCCGCUGCAAGGGGCGUCGGGUGUUGUGAUGCAACGCUCGUUGAUAACGUCGGUGUUGCUAUGCAGCAUUGCCGAAGCUGCGAUGGAGAGCACCACCACGCCGGUGUCGUGGCUACAAUGAAGCAUCACCGGAGUUGCGACGAGCUGCCCACGUUGGGUUGGAGCACCGUCACGCCGGUUUCGUGGUUGCAAUGGAGCAUGGCCGGAGCUACGGCCGGUGCUGCUAGUGCCGGUGUCACUGUUGUAAUGGAGCAUGGUCGGAGUUGCAACGGGCCGCCGGUGCUGCGAUGGAGCACCGCCGGCCGCGCCGGUGUUGGCGCUGCAGAACGUGGCAGCGGUGCUACGAUGAAGCUCGACGGUGGCAGCAAAAAGUGUUGCGGAGUGCUAUCUUUUUUUUUGAAAACUACUUGACGCACUUUAUUAAACUCAUAUCAAAGUUACAUCAUCCACAAUGUCCAAAAGUAAAAAGCUGGGAGAAUCACCAUCCCAAACAAAAGUAGAAUUUAAAUUGAAACUAUGUCUAGCAAGAUUGUGUGUCAAUCUAUUAGCCUCCCUAGAACAAUGAGUGAAGGAUACCGCACCAAUACGGUAAUGCUUUUUGAAAACAAUCAGCCAAAAUAGCAGUAUAGGGGCUCCAAAUCUCAAUCACGCCAUUGCAUGCUUGAAUAACUUCCAAUGAGUCAGAUUCAACAACGACUUGAUGACAGCCGAGUCCUUCAACCAACUCUAGUCCUUGCUGAAUAGCUACUGCUUCCGCCGUUGUUGCAUCAAGGAGAUGAUGAAGCAACCAGGAUGCUCCCGCAAGAGCCUCUCCUCGGUUGUUUCGAAGAAUUGCCGCAGCUGCACCCGUUCCAUCUUCAAAAAAAGCGGCGUCAACAUUUAAUUUAUAAGAAUUGAUUGGAGGUUUCACCCACAUAACUUUAUCCGGUUUCUUCUGAUCCGCAGCUCGAGAAAAGUUACUUGUGAUUGCUUGGAUAGCGAAUGCAGUACCUGAAGGAUUUUGGACAUUUUUGCCCUUAACAAAUUCUCGUCGUUGCCACCAUAUAUACCAAGCCCCAACGACCAAAGACUCCCGGAAUCCCAACCUACCAAGAACAGGUGAAUGUCUCGCCGGCUGCGUUAGUAAUUCUUCAAGGAUCACACUACCCGACCUAUCAAUUUGAAUGACUUCACCUAUUAUUUCAUGUAACCCCAGUUUCUUCCAUACUUCUUUUGCUCUUUCACAUGUAAACAUCAGAUGCCGCAUAUCUUCCGCCCUUGCUUGCAUACUGGGCAUUGAGGCUGUACCUUGAUGUGUCUAUUUGCCAAGAUCGACAUCCCUGGGACAAUACCAUGUAAAGCACGCGCGAAAAUUUUCACCUUGCUUGGAAUUUGUAACUUCUACAAAAUAUCCCAUACCGGGUUUGCAUUCAUAGCUCCUUGGCCAUCCCCCCACCUAGUUUGAGCACCAAAUUGAUGUUCCCAUUCCACAUAAUAAGCUGAUCGAACCGAGAAUGAGAACGACUUCGUAUACUGCCAUGCCACAAAAUCUUCAGUCAUGUUAAUUAGGGCUCAAAGGGAUUUUUAAAAUUCUUUCCACAUCCACCCAAAUAAAAUUAUCUCUAAUCAAAGCCUCAUCCCACUGUCCUGUAAAGGGAUCAAUUAAAUCAUCUACAUUCUGCAGAAGUCUUUGUCCUUUCACAGUUAUUACUUCCCUGUUCGGACUUCUAGGCACCCAAUGGUCUUCCCAUAUGUUGAUAUUUGCUCCAGUACCAACUCUCCAUAUGUGUCCUCUCAUAAAUGUGCGUAGCCCAGCAAUUAUGCUCUGCCAAGUAAAAGAGGAUCCCUUCUUCGGACCCACUUUCAGUAAAUUGUCAUCGGAGUGCUAUCUUUUCGUUCCUCGAUGUGAUGUUUCUUUUUCUUUUGGCGAUGCGGGGUGCACGCGGGAGUAGUUGCUUGAGAUGAAGAUGAAUGGUGUGAUCCAAUGGCCAUACAACACCUGAUCCAACGGCCCACGAGGGGGUUGAAUUUUUGCCCUGCGUCAGUUCGAUGACGCCUAGCAAUGGCCAACAAAAUAUGCAUAUUUAAAAUAAACUAGUAGUAAAUGAUUGCACGGUAAUAUUAGGGAGGAAAUUAAUACAUGUUUAUAAUAGUAGGUAGGAUAUGAAUUGCGUAUUAAUUACACAUUUAUAUUCGCUAGAAUGUCGAUUACUUUUAAUUGCACGCUUAUAUUGGAUAGGAUAUCAAUUAAACCUUAUAAUAAUGUAAUUAGCAUAAAGGUUGUUACUACUUGGUAGUAUGAUAUUAACUGCAUGUUAAACAUGUUGAGCGAUUACCAUUAAGACAAUCCUUUGAUGGCCGAGAUUAAUUGGAUCGACUCUUCGGGGCUUUUUAUAUCGAAAAAACUAAUGACCCAACGUUCCCCAGGAGGGGGGUUUGGAUCCUCUGUUGUAGUGUAGCGUGCAGUACGGUCACUGUCAUGUGGACCCGAUUUCAUAUGUCAUCCGCACUGCAACACGCUACAGUAGAGGAUCUCAACCCCGGGAGGGGUUGACAAACGAACAUAUUUUCUUGACAGUUUUAGUUGCGACUCGAGAUAAAAUGGUGACAAUUUUUAUGAAGAAAAAUGCAUUUUUUGAAGAAAUUGCUAUGUUGUUCUAAAAAAUUGUCACGCGAUUCACAAAAUGUCAACCCCUUCCAGCGAACACGCUGUGGCUAUUGGUUUCUUCUAUAUAUUUGUAUACAUAUAGAUAUAUAUAUGAUAUGGAUACAAUAUAUUAAUAUAAUACUAAGAGAAAUUCGUGAUUAAUAUUUUGCUUUAAAAUCACAUUUGGAUGUAUAAAGUUCUUUUUCGAGCAAAAUUUGGAUGUAUAAAGUGAGUAUGCUAUUUUAGUGGUACUGAAAAAGGAGAUAAGGUGGUGCUAUCUUAGGAGUGCCACGUAGAAUAAAUGAUGAGGUGAGGAGAGAGAACUCAUAAAAAAGGCUUGCUUUUUCUUAUUUAAGAGAAGACAAGAGAUGAUCUUUUAGCAUAAUAUGUCUCACCACGUUUUUAGAAUGAGGUAAAUACACCGCAAGUCACAGAACUUGGACGCGACGGUCAGUUUGGUGCAUAAACUUGUAAAAUACAUGUUUCUGGUCAUCUAACUUGUCUUUCUGUCAUAUACGGUGCUUUUCUACCGUAUGAUGUGCACUCAUGGCUUGCCAACGUGGCAGGGGCCCACUGUCAGUGGCUCAGGCAGUGGGUAAUCUGCAUGCACUGCUAUUUUUCAAAAAGCACCCUUGCAUUUUUAUCUAUUUAUGCAGAAAAAUCCUCAAAUAAAAUGACAAAUGCUAGAGCGGCAGCAGGAUUCAAACACACGCCCUGCUAUGAUUUGCCUCGCUUAGAUGGCCACUUGACCUCCUUACUGUUGACGUUUAUAGAGCACAAUUAGCUUUAUAUAAGAUAAACCGUACGAGUUAAAGUAGAAACCAAACGAGAAAAGGGGAAAGCACCGAUUCUAACCUAUGACCACAUAAGCUCGCUGCGUGUGCGAGCGCCAACCAUCCGGCCACAAUGACAUUUAAAUAGAUAAACACAUUUUAUCGUAUGUAUUUUUUUCUAUUUAAGAAAAUUAAUUAUAUUCUAGAUAAACUUUUCGGCCAAAUCAACUAGAUUUUGUUUGAAUUCAAGCAAUUUUAAAUUUAAAAAUCUAGAUAGGAAAUGUAGUGCAGAAUGAGUGUACGUAUUUUUUUGGACAAACCAACUAAAUUUUUGUAUGAAUUCGAGUAAUUUUAAAUUAAAAAUGUAGAUAAAACAAAAUAUAGUGCAGAAUGAAUGUAAUUUUUUUAUCUCAAAUAAUUUUAAAUUUGAAAUCUGGAUAAAAGAAACUAUAGGUCAAAAUGAAUGUACCUAAAUUUUUUGGACAAACAACUAAUUUUUUGAUUGAAUUUGAAUAAUCUAGAUAAAAUAAAAUAUAGUUCAUAAUGAAUAUACGUAAAUUUCUUUCGGACAAAUAAACAUAAUUUAUUAUGAAUUAAAAAAUCUAGCUGAAAGAAAUUAUAUGUGAAGAAUAAUGUACAUCAUUUUUUUGGACAAAUCAUCUAAUUUUUGUUUGAAUUCAAAUAAUUUAAAAUUUGAAAAUAAGGAUAAAAGGAAAUAUAGUGCCCAAUGAUGGUACAUAUUUUUUUGGGACAAAUCAACAAAAUUUUGUUUGAAUUCGAAUAAUUUUAAAUUUGAAAAUCUAGAUAAAAAGAAAUAUGGGUCAGAAUGAAUGUAUGUAUUUUUUUGGGACAAAUCAACUAAUUUUUAUUUUUAUUUGAAUAAUCUAUAUAAAAUAAAUAUAGUUCACAAUGAAUGUACGUAAUUUUUUUCGAACAAAUCAACGGAAAUUUUGUUCAAAUCCGAUAAUUUUAAAUUGGAAAAUCCUGAUAAAAGAAAACGUAGGUCAGAAUGAAUGUAUGCAUAUUUUUGCCAGAAAAAUUUGUUUGAAUUAAAAUAAUUUUAGAUUAGAAAAUCUAGACAAAAGAAAAUAUAGUGCAGAAUGAAUGUACGUAAUUUUGUUUUGAACAAAUCAUCAGAAAAUUUGUUUGAAGCCGAAUAAUUUUAAAUUUGAAAAUCUAGAGAAAUGAAAAUAUAUUCAGAAUGUGCACUUUUAUUUUAGAGGUGAUAUACCUUAGUAGUCCAAAUGAAAUACCAAGUAUGAUCAGUUGCAGUGGAUAGAUCGCUAGCUCCAUUCCAAUAGGUUGUUGGUUAGAACUCGCUGGUCCCAUUUUUUCCAGCACAAUAUAUUUACAACUUACACUGACCGUAGGACCCAACGGAUAACUAUUGUUGAAGUGCUUUUGUACAAAGUAAAAAAACGAGCGUGUUUUUGAAAAAACAUCAUGUGCACUAGCCACUGACAAUGGGCCCAAUAUAUUUACAACUUACACUGACGGUGGGACCCAGCGGGCAACUAUUGUUGGAUUGCUUUUGUAAAAAGUUAAAAAAAUUAGGGUGUUUCUGAAAAAAAACAUCGGCCCUGGCCAUGUUAGCAUGCCACGUAGGCAGCGAAUACACCCACGUACAGAAAAUGUGACCGUAUUUACACGCCCGUACAAGUUAGAUGACCUGAAAGACGUAUUUUGCAAGUUUAUGCACCAAACUGACCGUCGCGUGCAAGUUUUAAGACUUCUAGUGUAUUUACCUCUUUUAGAAUUGCUAUUUAUUAAAGAUAAGACUAAGAGAUGACCCAUUGUAGACUUUUUCUUUUGCCAUCUCUAGAUUACAUGCAAGACUUAAGAUAAGACUAUGUUAUCAACCAUUGUACAUCCCCUAAUCUAUUUUCGAAAGUCCCUUAAAGUGUAAGUUUGCAAUAAGAAAAGAAAAAUGUAGAAGCUUGNNNNNNNNNNNNNNNNNNNNNNNNNNNNNNNNNNNNNNNNNNNNNNNNNNNNNNNNNNNNNNNNNNNNNNNNNNNNNNNNNNNNNNNNNNNNNNNNNNNNNNNNNNNNNNNNNNNNNNNNNNNNNNNNNNNNNNNNNNNNNNNNNNNNNNNNNNNNNNNNNNNNNNNNNNNNNNNNNNNNNNNNNNNNNNNNNNNNNNNNNNNNNNNNNNNNNNNNNNNNNNNNNNNNNNNNNNNNNNNNNNNNNNNNNNNNNNNNNNNNNNNNNNNNNNNNNNNCUUCUCUCGUCUUUUCUCUUCCCUCGCGCUAAACAACAACGGGAUGUACGCGCCCGCAGGGCGCGAAUCUCAAGGCAUCUCCCGGCGCGUCCGCGCCGCCUGCGGCGGGCGGCUCGGCGGAGCAGUUCCGGGGCAAGGCGCGGCUGCCGAGCUUCGCCGCGCCGCGCCGCUACGAGCUCUUCCUCCGCCCCGACCUCGUCGCCUGCACCUUCUCCGGCUCGGUGGCCAUCUCCGUCGCCGUGUCCGCGCCCACCCGCUUCCUUGUGCUCAACGCGCUCGACCUCUCCGUCAACCGCGCCUCCAUCCGCUUCCAGGUAAGGAGAAAGAAGGAGAAGAAAAAUGAAAUUCCUUGAGACCUCCUCGCCCUCUUCUCAUCGUCCCUCGUCGGUACGGUUCUCGCAGGCUUUGGCGCCCACGGAGGUGGUGUUCUUCAAGGAUGACGGUGUGUUGGUGCUCGGGUUCGCCAAGAAGCUGCCCCUCGGCGAGGGCGUGCUGAAGAUGGACUUCACCGGCAUUCUCAACGACCAGAUGAGAGGCUUCUACAGGAGGUAUGCGACGACUUCCUUCUGGACUCUACCACCCUUGGUAUUUGCACCGUACAUCAACACAGUACUUGUGAUAAUCUAUAUAUGCCAUGAUUUGUUCGAAAUUUUAAGUAGAACAUUACAGAAGGGGAAAAGUUGAACUGUGGUUUCUGUUUACUAGUAAGCGUGCACGUGCCAUGCACGUACAACGACCAUAAUAAGAUGUUUCUUUGUUUAUCUCCGUUAAGAGGCAAUUGUUAAAUAAAAUCAACAAAACUAUACUUCUAUAAUAGAAUGAUAGAUUUCAAGUAGUAGUCGAUGUGUAGUAGAAAAAAAUCUUUCCGACUACGAUGACAAAUAGGAAGAAUUUCCAUUAUGUGGAAGCUUGGAUGUUCCUUUCUGGUACACAAAUAUGAGAUAUGACAUAGGACAACAUCAAACCAUAAACCUCCCAGCCAUUGACCCGCCUUAUCACUUUUUAUGUGCACCGUCAAGACGCUCUCGACAUGUUAAUGUUUAGUUUAUUCUUCACAAAAAUAUCCCAACACUAAAAUUCACAAGCUAAACUUGAGAAGCAACAUGCACAAUCGUUCUCCAAAGUAUCCCCUCUUUCAUCUCUUUUAUAGUCCAGUCCCGAAAAUGUCAUGCCUAAAUGCCAGAAGAAAUAGUGCCGGAUAAAAACCAAGGGUAAACAUUGGAAAACUAAUUGAUUUGAUUGUGUUCACAACAAAACAAAAUCCCCGGAUUCUGGUUAGUAAUGCAUAGAACCCUGAUUUCCAAGUAUACAAGUUUGCAUGUAAGAGAAAUUUCAUGCACACCAUGUAAAUCCACAAGAAAUUAUAAAUGCUAGUUGGGCAGCUGCCUUACAAGCAACAAAUACAUGCAGCAAAGUUUGUAGGAGGGCCUCUUCCAUCUUGGUCACAUUUUGUAGUGAAGAUAUGCGAAUAUUCCAUGGCUGCAAGUAGAUGAGACAUAUUAUGGGAAAAUAAAUAAACGGGGCAUGUUAAUAGUUCGAUGGAGGAGCAGAGGCUGGAGAGCAAUUUUUACGGCGAUUAUCUGUGUACUCAGGAGACCCAUCUUCAUUGAUCUCAACAAUAGCAGGAGAAAUUUAUCUUGUGUCCCACAUGGGCCUCCGUUUCUUAGAAAUACGAGUCAUACCUUUGUUUAUUAGUCUGAUGAGAUAGAGGACGUUAAACAGUUUCAGAUAGGGAACUAACUCCCUUCCAUCGUAUCCCUAAAUGUUCUUCUGAUCUUCUCUGAAAUAGUGAAAGAAUGGUACAUAGUUGUAAUCAACCAAAAAACUGUACUUCAAAAUAUGCACGAGACAAACAGAGAUAGCAGCUGUAACUGGAAGGAAGACAGGUUGGGUUACAGUGCAGAUAAAGCAUAACUGCAUAGUACGUAAAAGGAUUUUGAUAUGAAGAGUUAGCACAAGAGAAACAAGGUUGUAUAACAAAUUAGUAGGAUCCAAGAUCAGGCAAAAGCAAAAACAUGUUCAGGUGGAACGAUGCAGAGGACGGAAAAACAAUCUUCCAUUAUCUAAAAAAAAGUUAAGCAUAUGAAGUGACCAAGAUGAAAUUUUGUAACCAUGACCGUUGCUGAAAUCUAGUCAUUACAAACUUCACAAAUUUCAUGUCUACAACAACUCUUUGCCUUACCUCCAGCAAUCACAGAAAUAUAUACAAAAAAUGAAAACAUGAUUAAUGUUUCCUACCUUAGCCAGGUCAGAAGUGACCCCUGGAUUAGAAAAGCACGGGGCUUCAUCAUUAUUCUGCCCUAAGUGUGAUCAUUUUUGUAGAUCCUGGUCCAUCUCUCUAAAGUCAAUUUUGCUAUGUCCCUUUUUUUUCUUCUUCGAUCCUUGGAUUGAUAAUAACAUGGGAAACAAUCUUCGAUCCUUGGAUUGAUAAUAAUAUGGGAAACAAAUACAUGAGUAUUCUGAGUGCAUCCUAGUUAUUGUUAAUUUUAACACCUGCAAGUUGCAGGUACUCAUGUUAGCUGAAAUCCAUUUCUCAGAAACAUCCAGAGUAAAGGGUGGCAUGCAUGCAAAAGAGUAUAUAAUAUCUCAAGUGCAUCGGUGGAAAGGAUUACUGGUAGAGGGGUCAGACUUGGGAGCUCCAUACAUUCUCCACUCUGAAUCAAACGGCAACACUACACCCUGCACAUCCAUGCACGCUCUGGCAAAGCAAUUUCUUUUUCAGUGAUUGCAAGCAGUAGGCUGCAACUCCUAUAGUAAGUUGCAGGUCAGUCAAAUCCAUUAGUAUAAUCAUUGGUACAAUCAAAUUUCUCAACUUACGAGAGGCCAAGCUGAGUGGGAGAGCGACGGGCGGCUCCGGCGGCGAGCGGAUCCAGGGGCGGGGCAGCUCCGUCGGCGACCAGCGGCGAGCGGAUCCAGGGGCAGGGCGGCUCCGGCUCGCGCGGCAAGCGGCUCCCGCGGGCGGCGGCUGCAGCGGCGAGCGGCUCCCGCGGGGCGGCGGCUCCAGAUGCGAGCGGCUCCUAUGACGGCUCCUACGGCGAAGGGCGGCUAACGUCUGCCGGAGUUUGCGGGGCGGCGAACGGCGCGGGAGGAGGAGGGGAGGUUGUGCGCGCAGGGGCGAGAGUCGUGCGAAGAGGGUGGUCGUGCGGGUCGUGCGAUCGGCUUUCCUUUUUUUUAACGGCGGGCCUUGGUUAUCGAUCGAUGGCUUGUUAGUAGCUUAACGCGUGGUUGGCAGCGUUAAACACCGAAGGGUUAAGGGCCAUUAGAUCUUGAUGAUGGAUGGGCCUGAUUGUUUGGAUCUGCCCCUCUCUUUCUUUUAUAGUGGUAGUAGAUUACUCCCGGUUAGUUACUCACCGACCAAGAAAGUGACCAGUCCCGAUAAUGCACUUGCUACGAAUUCGAUGAUACGUGGUUUGGAAGUUCACUGUGAAGGCGUUAUAGUUUUAUGAUCUAUUUCUGAAAUAAGAGUUUAAUCGAGCACUUUGGUAUGAAUGCCUCUCCUGCUAUUUAUGCUUUUCUGAUUUCGUUUGAUUGCAGUAAGUACCAGUAUAAGGGGAAAGAGAGAAACAUGGCGGUGACGCAGUUUGAGUCCGUGGAUGCUCGGCGGUGCUUCCCCUGCUGGGAUGAGCCCGCAUUCAAGGUGAUUAUAUAUGAUAGCUGGAAGGAUGACUUUAUGUUCCUCAGAUAUGUACACAUAGAGCAUCAGUGAAGUUAGAUAUAUUUCAUAACAUUUCUUGUUUUGCCGUUUCGAUUUUCCAGGCUAAGUUCAAGCUAACACUUGAAGUUCCAUCUGAGCUGGUAGCGCUGUCCAACAUGCCAGUAGCUAACGCGACAUUUGCUGGUCCUAUCAAAACUGUGCGUUACCAUGAAUCGCCACCUAUGUCAACUUAUUUAGUGGCCAUAGUUGUCGGUUUGUUUGAAUAUGUAGAGGGUAUGACAACAAAAGGUAUCAUCUCUGUUUCUGAAAUCAUCCAUUCAAAGAGUGUGCAUGAGACCUUUCUCUUUCCCUUCAUUUUAUUUGUUUGUUUAAUUUUAUUCAGGCAUGAGAGUUCAUGUGUACACUCAAACUGGUAAGAGUAACCAAGGGAAGUUUGCACUAGAUGUUGGAGUGAAGUCGUUGAAUCUCUAUGAAGAGUAAGAUCACAAUCUAGCCGUGCUUCCACACUUUGGUUUCUAACGGAUAUGCAUGAUUGAUGUUAUUGAAAUACUGUGUCAAGCCGUGGUUGUUGCUGAAACAGUAACAUUAACAAAAAAGCUCAUUUCCUCGAUUGUUCAGUUACUUUGCCACUCCAUAUCCACUCCCCAAGUUGGAUAUGGUUGCUAUCCCUGAUUUUGCUGCUGGAGCCAUGGAGAACUACGGAUUGGUCACUUACCGGGAAGUAGCUUUGCUUUUCGAUGACAAGUCUUCAUCAGCAUCCAGCAAACAGAAUGUAUGUAUCAUAGCUCAGAAACUUAUUUAACUUAUCUUUUCAUCGUUUACAAUUCACCUCUUAACUAACUGUGCGAUGUUACUAUACAUAAAUCAGUUUAGUAAAAAAGCUACACUAUAUCAUGAUCAUCUAUAAUUCACUAAUAAUUCCUAACAUUUUUUCGUAAUUAGACCUUUUAUACGUGUAAACCCUUUUUAUAUUAACCGCAGCAUGUAUUUUGUUUAGAUUGCAAUUACUGUGGCACACGAAUUGGCUCAUCAAUGGUUUGGCAAUCUUGUAACCAUGGAAUGGUGGACUCACUUGUGGUUAAAUGAGGGAUUUGCUACAUGGGUAAAUCAAUUCGAUCGCUCAAAAGUUAAAAGAAUGAGAUAUCAGGUUACCAAUGUAUACUGAAUGAAUAGGCUUUUUGUUUUCCCAGAUGAGCCAUCUAGCAGUAGAUUCUUUUUUUCCACAAUGGAAUAUCUGGGCACAGUUUCUUGAUCCCACAACCACUGCUCUCAGGCUGGAUUCACUCGAGGCGUCUCAUCCUAUUGAGGUAAUCUCAUUGUUUAGUACUGUGCCAUAGCCUGCUCCUGUGGUUGGGUAUGUUGUGGACUACAUUCUCCAAAACCAUAGUUGUCAAUGUCAUGCACUCUACUAUCAUAGAAGUUCAAGUAUCUAUUUUAAAUUGCAAAUUUUGACAAUGGCAUGUUCAAGUAACGAUAGUGCAUACUGCGUAAUAUGCUAUUACCAACACAUUAUUGGCCGAUUCAUGAUUGACUCAUAAAAUUUCUAUGGAAUAUUAAAAUUGAUGCUGAAGUAUCUCUACUCUGACAAGUGGCAUCUUACUUUGGGAGCAACUUCAGUCAAUGCAUCAACAGAGAUUCAGUUCAUGGCAUUAACAUUUUCACUUCUCUAAUUCUAGCUUGUGAUUCAUUUUAUACUUUCCACUAUCCUUUUUCCUGGAUGCUCAGGUUGAAAUACACCAUGCCAGUGAAGUUGAUCAGAUUUUUGAUGCUAUUAGCUAUGACAAGGGUGCUUCUGUUAUUCGCAUGCUACAAAGUUACCUUGGCGCAGAGCGUUUUCAGGUCUAAUACUGCCUCUACCUGAACUCUAGAAACUCGUCACUGACUCACUCUUCUUGCCUAGAUUUGGCAUUCUUUUUCUCGUCAUGUAGCUUAAAAGUAUACAAGAUCACUUUCAGCAAGUUUAUUUUGUUCUUUAUGGAAACAGUGAUACUUUGAUGUCAUUUCCCCGCUAUUCCAUCUAGUAGAAAUACUAGACGACUACAUGGCUUGUCCAUUGCAUAAAAUGUUUGUAUGCUCUUGAAUCAUACUAGUUGGUAAACUUGCUUUUGGUCAGCAGUGUUUUAGGGAGAGAUUGCUGUUCUCUGAAGACAUAUUCUAGGAGCAAAAUGACCAUUUCUUCAUAGAUUAUCCUGCCCUUGUUUAAUGCAUACAAGCAUCAUGUGACCAUUUGUACUUCACCGAUCACAUGAUUUAAGGUGGAUGGUUUGAUAAAUUAGCAUAUAGAGACAGAUUUGUCGAUAUAGGUGUGAUGGUCAUCUUAUGUAUUGUUGUAGCAUGUGUCAUGCUCACAGGAUAACAUUACUUGUUCACAAAAAAAAGUAGUAAAAUUUAGCGAUUGUUGACUCUUUUCUUGAUCAUAUAAUGAAUCUAUCAAACUGCAUACUAGCUUAUUAUGUUAAAAGUCAAUUUUUAAUUAAUUACAUUAUUUAGUCAAACAAAUUGCUGCACUCUCCUUUCUGUGUAAUUUCCCCCUGCUACUCUUUAACUCCACGUCGUUCUCCUAGUGUAUUCUCAUAUGCUAUAGAUAUGAAACUGUGUUCUUUCAGAAAGCAAUGGCUUCAUAUAUGAAGAAAUAUGCAUACUCAAAUGCUAAAACCGAGGACCUUUGGGCUGUUCUUGAAAAGGAAACUGGUGAACCUGUCAAGGAUUUAAUGACUACAUGGACGAAGCAAAAAGGUUAUCCUGUUAUUAAUGCAAAAAUUAAAGGGAAUGACAUAGAGAUUGAGCAGGUAAUAGUUUUUUUCUUCUUUUUGCGGGUGAGCAGGUAAUAGGUUAUCUUACAUACCAUCCUUCGUAUCUAUCAUGCAUUCAUCAUCACACGACUAACCAAGUAUGCAUUUGUUUGGUUAAUAUGUCCUUGCUAUUACCGAAAAAGGCUUUCGCCCCGCUUUAUAAAUAAAGCAAACCGCCAAAGAUCACACAUAUAGAGUCAAGUCCACACACACACACCCAAGUCUCACAACAAAGUACAUACGUUCUGCUAAGGGCACAGCUCAACAAGCCCAGAAAAUAAAAAACAGAGCACGCUGGACGAAUAUAGCGUCUAGUCUGGUUCCGGCGGCGGUGGCGGGGGCGGCGGCGACAAACGGACGGCCAUCGAGCGGAGGUCGGUGAUGAAGGCUGAGAUGGCGUCGCGGUCCAGGGGGCGGCUAAGCGUCCGCCAAAGCUGCAAGGAACCCGAGAGUUUGAAAAGAGCGUCAGUAGCCCGUCGAAGAGGAGUGCGCUGAAUCACAAGCUUAUUGCAGACAGUCCAGAGGGUCCAGGCGAAGACCCCAAUCUCAAGCCACCUAAUGUGGUGAGAAGUCACGGGGGACAUCUGGGGUUCGGCAAAUAAGUCAGGGAAGUUGGUGUGGCACCAAUUUCCACCGACCGCUUCGCGAAAGCAGCUCGAGAGGAACUGAGCGGACACGCAGGAGAAGAAAAUGUGGUUCGAGUCUUCGGGGACCCCACAGAGCGGGCAGAUGCCAGUACCCGGGCCAUUUCGCUUGCGCACCUCCACCCCGGAUGGGACCCGACCGCGAAUCCAUUGCCACAUGAAGAUACGGAUCUUCAGGGGCAGGCGGAUGGACCACACCAUCGAUAAGGGGAGGGGGGCGGAAGAUGGAGCGAUGGCCAGGUACAGCGACUUGGUGGAGAAUUGGCCCGAAGGUUCAAGGCGCCAGCGCACCAGGUCAGGGCCACCAUCCACCAUCGGUUCGUGGAGAGCAACACAGUCAAGCAACUCACGCCAGGCGGCGGAUUCCAAGGGACCAAAAGGCCAUCGGAAAGCAAGGCGCCCUAAGUUAAGAAGGGCCCUAUCAACAAAAAUCACGGGAUCGACGGAGAUGGAGAAGAGGUCGGGAAAGCGAGCCGCAAAGGGAGUGUCCCCGGCCUAGCGAUCAAACCAGAAUAGCGUCGAUGCCCUGGAGCCCACCGAGAUGGAGGUCCCGAUACGGAGGACCGGGAGAAGCUGGACAAUCGACUGCCAGAACUGGGAUCCGCCAGACUUCUGGCAGAAGGCGAGGGGCUGUCCGCGCAAGUAUUUGUUCCGGAUGAUAUCAAGCCAAAGGCCAUCGUGCCCUUGCGAGAUGCGCCAAAGCCAGCGGGAGAGAAGGGCGAUAUUCAUCUGUUUAGAGCACAUGAUGCCAAGGCCACCUUGCUCCCUGGGCUCAAAUGUCAGGCCAACUGACCAUAUGAUACUUCUGCUUGUCGUUGUCGCCCGCCCAGUAGAAGCGGGACUGGACCUUGGCGAUCUCAUGCUGAAGGGUCUCGUGGAGACUGUAGAAGCUCAUGAGAAACAAGAGGAGGCUGGAGAGGGAAGAGUUGAUGAGAAUAGUCCGUGCCGCCUUGGUCAGCCACCUCCCCUGCCAGGGCUCGAUGCGCGUUUGGAGCUUGGCCACGGAGGGGCGCAAGUCCGCGACGGUGAGCCGGGAGUCAUUAAUGGGCGUCCCCAGGUAGGUUGUGGGGAAGGAGCCCAGGCGGCAAUUAAGUCUGUUCGCGAUGGCCAAAGACUCCGAGGGGGAGUAUCCCAUCACCAUAACAUCACUCUUGUCGAAGUUGAUCUUGAGGCCCGACAUCUGUUGGAAGCAGAGAAGUAGGAACUUGAGGUUGGAGAUGUCCGUCUCCGAGCCUUCGACCAUGAUGAUUGUGUCGUCAGCAUACUGGAGGAUGGAGAUCCCGGAGCCACCGGCAAGAUGGGGAGUGAUCCCAUGAAUAUGGCCGGCGGCUUUCGCCUUAUCCAGAAUGGAGGUAAGCGCGUCCACAACCAUAUUGAACAACAAUGGGGAGAAGGGGUCGCCUUGUCGUACCCCACAAAGGGUGGGGAAGAAAGGGCCGAUCUCGCCGUUGAUGUUCACGGCCGUGCGACCGCAAGAGACCAUUUGCAUGACUCUAGUGAUCCACCGGUCGUCAAAUCCCUUCCGAAGAAGGACUUCCCGAAGGAAGGGCCAGCUAAUCGUAUCAUAGGCCUUAUGGAAGUCAAUCUUCAGGAAAACCGCCUUGAGGUGUUUGAUGCGGACCUCAUGAAGGACCUCAUGAAGGACUAGGACCCCAUCCAGGAUGUAACGGCCCUUUAUGAAGGCCAACUGGUUGGGGUGAGUCACACGGUCCGCCAGUAGGGUCACCCUAUUGGCGUACCCUUUGGCCAGGAUCCGGAAAAUCACAUUAAUGACCGUGAUAGGGCGAAAAUGAUGGAUGUCGGACGUCCCAGGGACCUUGGGGAUGAGGGAGAUGAUCCCAUAGUUGAGGCGCCCGAGAUCAAUGGAGCCAACGUAGAAUUCGUCGAAUAUGGCCAUGACCUCAGGUUUAAUCACUUUUCAGAAGGUCUGGAAAAAUUUAACCGGGAGGCCAUCCGGUCCCGGCGCCGAGGAUGGGUUCAUGCCCUUGAUGGCAUCCCAGACCUCUUGCUCGGAGAAGGGGGCCGUAAGGGCCGCGUUCUCCGAAACAGACACCAACUGGGAACCAGACCAGCAAUCGGGGGCGAGAGAGAUGCCGCUUCGAGGGGCGGCAGAGAAUAAGGAUCUAUAGAAACCGUCGACGUGGGAUCGGAUGUCACGAGGGUCUUGAAGGAGAGCCUCACCGUCCCACAAGAGAGGGAUGGUGUUGCGUCUACGGCGGCCGUUGGCAAUGGCCUGGAAGUAUGCCGUAUUCGCGUCGCCUUUCAAGACCCAUUUCUGGGCACCACGGAGGCGCCAAUAGGCCUCCUCAUCGGUGUAGAUCACGGAGAGCUGGUCUUCCAGGUCAUAACGGGAGAGCCACUCAUCCGGGGAAAGACCCACCGAGUCAGCACGCAGGUCAAGGGCCUGGAUCGCGGACAACAACGCCUUCUUGCGCUCACGGAGGUCACGACCCAGAUUCGCACCCCACCCCUUAAUGAACUGCCGACCGUGUUUCGCGCAGAAGUGCCACGAAUCAAUGGCCGAAGGGGGGCGGGAGUGGGGGUGGCUGUCAGGACCCUGACUCAAUGCCACAUCGAUCUAGCAUGUAACACCUCAUAUCACUUUGCGGCCUCACGCACGGUAUUCCCACGGGUGUCGCCUUACCUUUGCCCGGGACCGUUUGCGCCUUUUGGCACACGUAUAUGAUAGUGUCGCUAGCAUCCAUAUGAUAAGGAGCCCGGGCUGACAUGGCUAGUCGUAAACCCAAAGUGGCACAAACUUACAGGGACAGGCAUCCAUGACCCAGCAUCAAACGUGUCGAUCAUCAGCGAGUGAAUCCAGGCUGUAGCACUGGGCUAGCAGGACUCCGGUGAACCGGGCUGUAGCGGGCUAACAGGACUCCGGUAUUCAUCGCGUGACAUUUCCCCGAGGGGACAGACACAGGAACGAAGAAGGACACAUGCCGCCAGCCUAAGUGUUCCGGAGCAGUAGCAAGCUACCAUGGCUCGGCGGAAACACUAGGAGACAUUUCCCGGUAAGAGAGGCUACUAAGGAUAAACAACUAGAUAGUCAGAUCCCACACAUACCAAGCAUUUCAAUAACAUACACACAAUAUGCUCGAUAUGUGCAAAUACAACAUGGCAUCACAACAUGACUCUACGACCCAAGUAUGUAUUCAUUAGGCUCCGAGGAGCGAGAUAUUACAAACAGGGGUCUCAUGACCCAACAUUCAGAGCAUACAAAUCAAAGCACAAGCGGAAGCUUAACAUGUCUGAGUACAGACAUCUACAAAUGAAAAAGGCUGAGAAGCCUGACUAUCUACCAGAUCCUGCCGAGGGCACAAGAUCGUAGCUGAGGUAACAAGCUAAACGUCGAAGUCCACGCGGAACUACUAGCGAGACCGAAGUCUCUCUGCAAAAACAUAAAAUAGGCAAACGUGAGUACAAAUGUACCCAGCAAGACUUACAUCAGAACUAACUACAUAUGCAUCAUUAUCAACAAAGGGAUGGUGGGGGUUUAACUGCAGCAAGCCAGCUUUGACUCGGUGGCUAUCCUGAACUACGACUGCAAGUAACUCUUUUGAGGUGGCGCACACGAGUCCACAUAUUCACCAUAUCAAUACACCACUAUGGAUCCGCUCCCGUCUCCCUACGAGAACGCCAUCCAUAGCACUCACGCUUAUCUUGCGUAUUUUAGUUAUCCUCUUUCACUUGUCUAUGAACUGAUAUAAGCAACCCAGAAGUCCUUUACCGCGGACACGGCUAUUCGAACAGAUGAUGUUAACCCUGCAGGGGUGUACUUCUUCAUACAUGUUUCCACCACUUAGCGUCUGCACACGACAUGUGCUCGGCAGACUUCAAGCGAAAGCCGACGUGGGUGUAGACCACGACCUACCUAAACACUCGAGUCUCUAGUCCAGGUUUAUCGCCUAUUCGGGUUCCAUCCAUGAGGAGAUCCGGCCGGGGUUUCGCUCACAGCCCCAAACGAUGUGAACAGGGUUCCGUGACACCAAACGGGCGCCCGGUAUACCCGGCCACGUGCCUACCGCAUCACAGCCCACCCCUACGGUCAGCGCUGUCCACGGCCUCCAGCAUACUACAAACACCAGAAACUACUUGCAACUCCUGGACAGAGGACAAGGGUGAAUAAGAAGUCGAGCGGGGUCAUAUUUCAGGGCCCAAUGCAUGGUAGUAGCUGAAUCAUGGAUCACAAACACAGAGCUCAGUUCCUAAGGACGGCUUCAAUGAGACAACCCACCAUGUACUCCUACAUGGCCUCUCACCGAUACCUUUUACCAAAUCGUGUUCACACACUUAGCUCACACACAGUAGGACAUGUUCACACACCUCUGAUUCAUCCCCGAUGAAUCAGACCUGACUCAACUCUAAGCAGUAGCAGGCAUGACAAACAAGCAUGAAUGAGUAGGCACAACAGGGCUCAAACAACUCCUACUCAUGCUAGUGGGUUUCAUCUAUUUACUGUGGAAUGACAGGUCAUGCAAAGGAUAAAGGGGUUCAGCUACCGCAGCAAGUAACAAAUGACUCGUUGUUGUCCUAAUGCAGUAAAAGAGAGCAGGGCGAGAGAGUAGGAUUGUAUCGGAAUGAACAAGGGGUUUUUGCUUGCCUGGCACUUCUGAAGAUAAUAUAGUUCUUCAUCGGUGUCAUCGAUCUCAUCGUCGGUAUCACGUCUAUCGAGAGGGGACAAAUACCGGCAACACAGAAAAGAACACAAUCAAUGCAAUGCACAAUAUGAUGCAUGAUCAUGACAUGGAAAAAAUGAGUGUGUUGGGAUAAUGCAACUAUAAUCGGAUGAAUUUGAGUUAGUUUGAACCCAAGGUUCAAGUUCAAAUUGAAACUAUGACUUAAAAAAGUGCAUUAUCAUGUUUUGAUAUAAACAACAGGUUUAACUUGCUUAAACAUGCAUGAAACCAGUGCAGAUGGAUAGAUUGGAUUUUUCUGAUCAUUUUUCAUAUAUAACUUAUUUCAUUUGGAGUUACGGUUGAAUUUCUAUGAAUUUUAGAAGUUUAGAUCAUUUUCUGAAAUUUAUAAAUCAUUUCCGAUUUAUUUUAAUUCCAGAAAAUGUUUACUGCGUCAGCAUUAGGUCAUGCUGACCUCAGCAGGUCAACAGGCGCCGCCAGGUCAAACCUGACCAGUGGGGCCCACUGGUCAGUGACUGGGGCUGGUUAGUGUCGCUGACAUGUGGGCCCAGUCAACAGCCACGUCAGCUUGGUCAAAGCUGACGUGUGGGCCCACUGAGAUUAAUUUAAACUAAACAGAAACUAAUCUACAUUUAAUUAGACAACGGGGCCUAGCUGUCAGCGAAUGAGCUUUGGCUAAACAUAGUAAUUAGACAAAUCUAAUCCGUCCACGUCAGCACACCGGAGAAUGGCCGGCGGCGACCUCAAACGCGGCGGAGGGUUGCCGGAGUGGCGCUACGGGUGGUGUUGGGCCAAGCCAAGGGCAUCAGAAGGUUGCCCUUGCUCGCGCGCAUCCAGGGGAGGCACGCGGGAGGGCGCGGGGUGGCCGGAUCUCGCCGGAGCGAGCUUGCGGCGGCGGCCGGAGGUCGGCCUCGAGCGGCUAGGGGGCUACGAUGCAGCUACGGACGAGCUACUAGGUGCGUUCGGCUCCUAGGAGCGAGGUGAGGACGAUGACGCGCUCGGGCGCAAGCUGCAGCGUCCGUAGCGGCAGCGGCGACAAGGUCAGCGGCGGCCGGAGUUCGGCCGCGACGGAGAUAUGGCCUAGAGCUCGCAACGCGAGGGGAAAGAGUGGGGUUCGGAUCAGGAGCUCACUGCAAGGUCGGAGAGAAGCUCGGCGGGCUCGGGGGCGCGCCGGAGUGGCUGGAUCGACGAAGAAGAGCGCCGGAGCCGAAGCUUGAAGACGAAGAUGAUGGCGGCUGCUCGGGGCCUCCGUGCUUCCUUCCUUCGGUGCAGAGGUGAAUCAAGAGGUGGCGGAGGCUCUGGAUAGCUCGGGGAGGCAAGGCGAUGGUGGUGGGCGCGGCGGCUCACGGCGGCGUGCUCAGGCGCGUGAGGGGGAGAGCGAGGGAGAGAGACAGAGGAAAAGGGAGGGCACGGGGGAAGAGUGCGAGAGGGUCGGGGUAGUACGUGGCGGCUCCAGGAGCCUCUCCCGCCUCGGCGGAAGCAGGAGGUGGCCACGGCGUGUGGCCGCAGGCGCCGGGCACGCGCCUCUCGUCCUCCUGGUGAGAGGAGGGGGAUGACUGGCAGAGGGCUUGGUGGGCUGGGCCGCACAGUAGUGGGCAUCUGGGCUGUAGGUAAGCGCCAGGUAGUCCUUCUCUCUCUCUCUCUUUUAUUUCUAUUUUUGUUCUAUUUUCUAUUUAUGCAAAUUUGUUUUAAUUUGGUUUUCAAACCAAAUCACUAUUAAAAAUUCUGGAAAUAGUUAUGGGCACUAAAUGAAUUAUUCCAGAGGCUCUCAACUAAUUCCAAAAUUGUUGGAGCAUUUAAAAAUAUUUAUAGUAUUUAAAUGCCCCAAUUCAAAUAUAAUAUGAGUUAAUUCAAAAAUACAGAAUGGCCUAAAAAAUAUGUGCAUCAUUUUUGGCAGAGGUUCUAGACCAAUUCAAAAAUGAUGGACAUUUAUGAAGGCAUUUUGGGUUCGUUGAAAAAAAAACUAAUUUUGACCCUAGUUGAAUUCAUUUGGUGUCAGGGUUUCAACACCCCCCAUUUCAAGUUAAAUAAAAUUUAAACAUGAUGCACACAUGAAGCUAGCCUAGUGCAAAGGCAGAGGCUAGGGACAUGACAGUGGGCGCGAGCCUCGAUGCACCGAGUGCCAACGGCGUCGAUAAACCCGGCCUGGGAGAGCCAGAAGGUCUCAAACCGGAAUCGAGGGGUGACCGGCGGACGUUCGUCGGCAAAAGGGAGGAGAAGGGGUACAUGAUCUGAACCAAUCCUCGUGAUGGCGUGAAGGGAGGCUAAGGGGCAGCGGAGGUCCCAAUCCGGGGACACUAGGACUCGGUCCAGGACAGACUGGGUCGGGGAGGCUUGCCGGUUGGUCCAGGUGAACCAGGCACCAAUCCUAUCGAUCUCGCGGAGACCGAGGUCCGCAAUGAAGUCAUUGAACAUUUGCAUCCGCGCAAAGUAGACAUUAUCAUUGCUCUUGUCUUCCGCCACGCGCAGGAGGUUAAAAUCGCCUCCCACCACCAACGGAAGGGAGGCUGCGGAGAUCUUCCGGUGGAGCUCCUCGAAGAAGGCAGCCGACCGACUAUGGUCAGCAGGCCCGUAGACAAUGAUGACCUCCCACUUGAAGUUUAGAGACCUCUCGAACAACUCCAUGCUCACAAAGAAUUCCCCUCGAUCCAUGCUACCCACCUCAAAUGUGGCAUCCUUCACGCCUAAAAGGAUACCACCCGAGUGGCCGGCGCUCCCACUAGAAGGGAGUCAAUGACACGCAAAGAGGUGGGAGCUUAGACGGUCAAGCUCAGGGAGCGAGAAUUCGAGUCGCAUGGUUUCUUGAAUGGCAACUAUGUCGAUGUGUUCCUCCCGCAUAUACUCCACAAGUUGGCGGCGUCGGCCAUCAUGACCGAAACCGCGGAUGUUCCAGAAUAAUGCACGCAUUAAGGCGCCAUUGGGGGGCUGCUUGACCCCAGGACACGAGAGGCGCUUUGCGCACGGAGGGCCGCGGUGCGGGAGCGAGUGCGACCACGGAUCUCCUCCCCCACUGGCGGGGGGGGGGGGGUAUGGAGCUGUCAGCCGCGACGCGGUCGGGGGAGAGGGGUCUCACCAGCCGCGGGCGGGACGGGAGGUAGAAGGAAGGCCGCACGGGCCUCCGCCAGCCUCCCGUCAAGAAUCUCGCGAGCUCUAAUAGCCGCGAUCUGGACUAAGGGGGGACCUGCUUCCCCCCUAAAAAUGAUUGCGGUCAAAGGCAACCUUUGCGAGGUUGCCUAGAGGAAUAGCCUCAAGCGCAACGAAGGAACAAGACGAAGCCGAAGGGGGAACGACAGGCGUACCUGGCUCCAGGUUCCGAGCAGCAGCGCGGAGCUCCGCCCGCUCGGGGAUGGGCAGAGCCGGACUGCCCUCGGGGUGAGCAGCAUCCAGCCGAGCGCUCCGACGGGAAGCAAUCACCGGGGAGGAUGCCGACCGGCAGUGGGCGAGAGUAGGCGGCGGACCGUGGAGGAGGGGGCUGGGCAGCCAUGGGGGUGGUCACCCUAGCCUCCCCGUCCAUGGUCGGGGCCUCCGCGGGUGAAGCCAGGGACGCGGGCACGGUGCAGCUGAGGAGGAGCGGAGCCGGGGACGGAGUCGCGGACGGAAGCAACAUCGGCGAAGGGGGGAUCGCAUAGCCCGCGGCUGAGGCCGCCCGCGGGAGCGGCGGAGGAGGUGGCGCCUCGGGCGGUGUGGGCUGAGCGACCGCGGGAGGCGAAGCCGGAGGGGGGGAGUCCGCCACAGGGGGCUCAUGAGGGGCCACCGAGGCCGCUGGAAGCAGACUGGGAGCCGGAGCUGUCGAGUCCAGCGCGACGGGAGCAGACGAGGAAGGGGAGCGUGGUGAAGAUGCCGGGCAGACCAGGCCCACGCUGGAGAUGUCGCUUGCCUCGGAGGACGUCGCCACAGAGUCCGAGGGACCGCCGAGAAGCAUGCUGGGUGCGGCCUGGCGGCCCUUGGCCCCCGCGGUAGGGGGAGGGGGCGAAGGGGACGGGGAGCGGGAGUCCUCCGAGCCUCCCUCCUCAUCCGAGUGGUGGGAGCGCGCACGGUGACGACCGUGGUAGUCCCCGUCGGUCCCCGGGUUGCCGCCGGGGAGGCCAGUGUCGAAGGAGCGGGGGCGACCGACGUGGUUGGGGGGCUCGGGGGCGAUCCUGAGAUCGAAGCCCUGGUCGUUGAAGAAGACGCGGACGGUGGUGUGAAGCUUGGAGGAGUCGAGGCACUUGACCUUGACCCGGACCUCCUCCUCCUUGCGUAGAGAGAGCUCAUCGACCACCACCACCUUGCCCAAGAGGCGGGACAUCUGGCGAAUGCCGAGCUCGGACCGCGCAAUAUCAGGGAGGCCGGCCACAAGUAUCCAAACGGUGUCGAGGACGGCCACGGCCUGAGCGUCGAGGAUCGGCUCGGAGAUGUCGACAACCAGUUGGUUGAGAGCGAGCGUGAUCCGGCCACUGCGAGUCACGUAGCCGUAGCUGACGGAGUCGGGGAAGACGACGGUGAAGAUGUGGCCAGCAGUGGGGGUGACCACCCAGUCCCAUUGACGACGGUAGAGGUGGUUGAGCUCGGCCUCAAUCAUCUCCGGGGAUGCCACCCCGUCGACCACAGUGACGACCGCCUGGAGGGUGGGAGAGGGCGGCGGGACGUCGGGGACCUCGAGGUGGAAGAAGACCAACCCCUCGAUACCGUGGCCGUACAUCAUGAGCUCAGACACCACCGGUCUAUCCGGGCACAGGAGAGCGGGGUGGCCCGGAUCCUUGCAGAGGUAGCAGCAUUGGGGAUUGACACAGUUGACUUGCGAAUGGCCCCCCACCCCGCAGUUGAAACAGGGGGGGCGAGGGAGACCAGAGACGGGCUCGGGCAUGGCGGAAGAUCCCGGGGCCGCCGAGGGGGGCACGGGCGGAGCGCCGCGGGCACCCCGACGCUUCUUCUUCUUGGCCGGCCCAGCGCGGCUGCGCGCGGUGCCACCGCCCGAGGCCGGAACCGAAGCCGUGGCCGUGGGAGCGGAGGCAUGGGGCGGCACGUAACGACGGGGAGCAGNNNNNNNNNNNNNNNNNNNNNNNNNNNNNNNNNNNNNNNNNNNNNNNNNNNNNNNNNNNNNNNNNNNNNNNNNNNNNNNNNNNNNNNNNNNNNNNNNNNNNNNNNNNNNNNNNNNNNNNNNNNNNNNNNNNNNNNNNNNNNNNNNNNNNNNNNNNNNNNNNNNNNNNNNNNNNNNNNNNNNNNNNNNNNNNNNNNNNNNNNNNNNNNNNNNNNNNNNNNNNNNNNNNNNNNNNNNNNNNNNNNNNNNNNNNNNNNNNNNNNNNNNNNNNNNNNNNNNNNNNNNNNNNNNNNNNNNNNNNNNNNNNNNNNNNNNNNNNNNNNNNNNNNNNNNNNNNNNNNNNNNNNNNNNNNNNNNNNNNNNNNNNNNNNNNNNNNNNNNNNNNNNNNNNNNNNNNNNNNNNNNNNNNNNNNNNNNNNNNNNNNNNNNNNNNNNNNNNNNNNNNNNNNNNNNNNNNNNNNNNNNNNNNNNNNNNNNNNNNNNNNNNNNNNNNNNNNNNNNNNNNNNNNNNNNNNNNNNNNNNNNNNNNNNNNNNNNNNNNNNNNNNNNNNNNNNNNNNNNNNNNNNNNNNNNNNNNNNNNNNNNNNNNNNNNNNNNNNNNNNNNNNNNNNNNNNNNNNNNNNNNNNNNNNGGUGGCGGGCCGGUCGAACGGGGCGAGGGAGCGGCCGGAGUCGAAGCAGGGGGGGAUGCGACGGGGAGGAGAUGGGGACGAGGAGAGGUGGCGGCGCUGGGGAGAGGGGGUCGCGGGAAGCCGCAGGGUAACCAUAUGGAUGGGGCCAGCGCCCUAGGGCAACCCAGCGGCCCAACGCUAGUGGGCCGGCCCGGGGGGAGGGGAGACCAUCCGGUAUGGCAUCACUGCGGCCCAGCUGCCGGGGCGGGCCGGGGCCCAGCAGCCCAGGAACACCAGCGGCCCGGCCCAGGCGACGGGGAGGCACGGGAGCCCUAAGGGUUUCCCUCCCAGGGGCGGGCGCCGCCGCCGCCGCCGGCGUGGCUCCGGCGCAGGCAGCCAGGGCAGAGGGAUCCCGACGGACCGAGAGGAACCGGAGGUUCGAGAACCCGAAGGCCGCGAUAAAGGGCCUAAAGGGGGAGGAUCGCACGCACGGGGUCGGGGGAGAGCAGGCGGAGAUCGACGCCGAGGGAGAUGGGUAGGCCGCCGGCCGGGCCUCCGCCGCCGGGCGGCGCCAGGAGGAGCGGGCGGCACCCCGGCCGGAGCGGCCAGCCACGCCCCAGGAGCGUCCGCGCCGGCGGCGAGCAGCGCCACCAGCCAAGCCCGCACCUUGGCGCUCCACCGCCCGAGUCGAGCUCGAGGGCGUCGUCGGCUGCGACUGCGGCGUUCGCGGGCCAGCAGCAGAACCCCUCACGUGGGGGGCUGAGCUGCCAGCCCGGCGCGGCAGCGCGGCGGCGAGCGAGGGGGUGGGGGCUGGGGGGGGGGACGGCUCAUCGUUGGCGAAGUCGGCCCAACGGAUCCGAGGCGCGGAGGGGGCGGCAGCAGGAGCGGCUGGAGGGGAGGGAGGCGCCGCGGCCGCCGGAGCGGGGCACUCGCUGGAGGGGGCAGCUGGGAUGGAGGCGGGGGGCGCCACCGGCGGCGGGUGCGCGCCGGCGCAGGCGCCAGAAUCGCCAGAGCACGGGAGCUCCAUCCCGCUCCUAUACCUAUAUCCCCCGCUGCGUAUUUGGCUGCUCCGUCCUUGCUAUUUAGUUAAGUUCUAGUCGUGGCAUGCCAUUUAGAGUUUCUUCUUUAAGAGAAUCAUCUGCUAACUGGUUGUGGCAAAAGCUUGACCAAACCUUGGUUUUUGUUCCAUACCAUUUUGUGAAUGUUUAACUGACUGUAACUGGUCCUCUGAGAAUACUGUACUCAAUGAUGUAAAAAAACUGGAAAUAUUUUACUGCCCCUACGGCCAUUGAUCUGUCACUUGAUGCAUUCACGUAUUUACACAGCAGCCCUAGUAUCUGAUCAUAUAUUCUGGGAUAUGGCUGAAUGGUAUCAAGAACAACUUACAUGAAUCUCGUAGAAGAACUGAAUUAGAUCUUGUUCUGAAGUUGGAGCUCUUUUAGGGUGCUCUAUCUUACCACAUUAGAGGUAAGAGGUGGUUUAAAUCUGAGUGGUUGGUUGAUGAAAGUUUGAAGGUUAUUUUGGGCCCUAGUGCAGAUAAGGCUAAUAAGGAAACCUACAAUUAAUUUGGUAAGGUAGAUAGGCACAGACGUUUCCCUACAAAUCACGAGAGACAUGUUUAAAUGCACAUUACUUCCCAUGUUCCCAUCUCAGCCCAGGGAUACACAUCCUGCAUGACUAUUGAUUUAAAUCAGAUGGUUGCAAAAAGAUCUAGACCACAGUUUUCUGCAGUUUCAGUUAUGUAUUGCUAAUUUGAAUGAUCAAAUAAUAUUUGAGAGCAAUGUUUAGUGUUAAAUUUUAUGACAGCUUGAAAUGGAAGUGUCAGAUUCAGACUUACAUAUAAAGUUAGUAUUAUAAGGCAAUAGGCAUAAAUUAAUUAUCAAAUUUUAAUCAUGAAGUUUGUUUUUUCUGUAGUAAUGUACUUGUAUGUUUAAUAGUGAUAAUUUGGUAUAUAUGUUUGAAUUUCUUUAUUUUUCUUUCAUUUUUCUGAAAGGGUGUUUAUUUUUAAUAAAUCCAGACACACAAUUCAAGAAAUAAUCAUUACAUUUUUCCUGUCAAAUGUGAGUCUCGAUAUAUAAUUUUAUGUACAAUAAUAAAUUAUGGUAUUAGGUCAGACUGGCUUCCUUUUCUUAAAUAUGUUGAUUAUUUAGAAUUAUUUACCAAUUAUUUCAUGUAUUGCUGCGCCCACUUCCCUCUACGAGUUAAUAGAUCACCCUUAGCCACUAGACCAAGGCAAAGAGAGGGUUUUCACAAAAGUGUGUCUUAUUUUAUAUUGGUUAAAGUGAAAAAACUAAUUAAUAAAAAUGUUAAAAACUUGAUCUCGUUGACUGAUAGAUCUCCGAGUAUAGUAUUUUUCUCCACGAACUUGAUGAUUUCUGUUUGUUGCAGGCCCAGUUUUUGUUAGAUGGGUCCUCUGGCUCUGGCAUGUGGAUUGUCCCUAUAACUUCAGGCUGUGGUGCAUAUGAUACAGAGAAAAAGUUGUUGUUGAAACUUAAACAUGAUAAGCUGGUCAUUGGUUCACAAUGUGGUGACCGAAAGAAGGGCGGAAACUUUUGGACUAAGUUGAAUAUAAAUGGAACCGGAUUUUACAGAGUUAAAUAUGACGAUGAGCUUGCAGCUGCACUUCAAAAUGCGUUGGAGACCAAGAAGCUCUCACUAAUGGAUAAAAUUGGUAAACGCAACAUGUGACCAUUGAAUCUGCUUGUAAUAUUUUGGUGGCAGGUAUUAUAACAUUACCAUUGCAGGCAUCCUGGAUGACUUAUAUGCGCUUUCUAUUGCCCGCCAACAAACAUUUGCGUCGUUGCUACAUUUACUCUACGGUUAUCGUGGGCAAGCUGAUUAUAGUGUUCUUUCACACAUAAACACUGUACGUAAAUCCUGUAGGUCCAGUUGAUUCUAUCGUGUUCAAUUGUUCCUGAAGAUAAAUCGCCUAUAUCUUUACUUUGGAUUGGCAGGUAACCACAAGUAUUGCUAAAAUAUCUGCUGAUGCUACUCCUGCCUUGGCUGGUGACAUCAAGCAACUUUUGAUCAAGAUUCUUUUGUCACCUGCAGAGUAUGCCCCACCAUAACUGCUAUGAGUUUCUUAAUGUGUUACACUCACAAUAUAUCAUCUCUUUUGUUUCACAAAAAGGAAAAGGAAACAUAAUAUGUCACUAAUCUUCUUCCUAACUUCUCAUGUUGCUUGAACAUUCCUUCUUUUGUGGCCGAUGCAUGACAAUUGCAUGAUUCUUUCACGUUAUUACUGUAUAUUUGCUACAUUUUCCUAUGUUUCUUCUUUUUGACUAUGUGACACUUAUCUUUCAGAAAGUUAGGCUGGGACCCCAAGAAGGGUGAGAGCCACCUGGAUGUAAUGCUUAGACCACUGCUGUUGACUGCACUUGUCCAACUUGGACAUGGUAAGACCAUUAAUGAAGGAGUUAGGCGCUUUAACAUCUUCACACGUGAUCGCGGCACUUCUCUUCUUCCUCCGGAUACUAGAAAGGUCCUGCCUUUUGCUAUCACUUCACGUGGUACCUAUGAUUACUUCUUCCAUUUGUAACUUGCGCUGUUCUGCAGGCCGCAUACCUCUCUGUGAUGCAGAAUGUUAGUAGUUCAAACAGAUCCGGUUAUGAUGCUCUCCGAAAAAUCUACAAGGAGUCAGCUGAAGGGGAGGAAAGAUUACAAGUCUUAGGUGUGUAGCCCUUUGACCAUCUUAAACUAACAAAGCUUGCCCAUGUUUUUGGUUGUUCUAAAAGCAUUUUCUUAUUGUUUCAAGGCAUAUUAUCUUCUUGCCGGGAUAAUAGUAUCGUCCUUGAAUCACUGAAUUUAAUUUUCACUAAUGAGGUAAAUGCAAAUAUCAUUACUUUCUUCCACAUUUAUAGUCGAAGGUUUCUAUGAGCUUACUUGUGUGUCAAGGGCAAGCUGUACUCAGGUCUCAUAUGCCUCUCUUGCUUGUCAGGUUCGCAAUCAAGAUGCAUAUAUUCUCCUUAGAGGUAUUCAACCAGAGGCACGUGAAAUUUCGUGGAACUGGUUGAAGGUACGAUCUCUUUUAACAAUGAGUACCCUUUUAUCUAUGUGUGUUGACGUGUUGUUGAUGCGUAAAAGUCGUUAUUUCUGGGUCCUGUCUGGAACAUCAGAUUCUUGUAGGCAUUCUAAACAAAUUUGAAUAUCCAUUCAUGAGAAUAUGCUUCUUUUUCUACCAACUUCAUUGAGAUUUCUGCAUUACAAAGAGGACCCAGGGUUCUUCUGUAUUUGUCAACAAGAACUCAAGUCAAGUGGCAUAUUUGCAAACAGCUGAACCAUAUUUGUGAAUUUAUUUCGGGAUCCCGAUUUCUUUAAAUGGAUUUCCCUUGUAAAUGUAUUUUAACUAGAGUGAAUUUGAGGCAGCACCCAACCAUCUAUUUUUUGUAGUUCCUUCAUAUGACACCUUAGGAGAUGACUGAUGGUUCAUACUUGGUGUUAGCAGACUGAAACAUUUGAAAACAUGGUGCUAACAUUUGUCCCAUUCUGUCUGUCUGCAGGAAAACUGGGAGCGCAUCUCAAAGAUAUUUGCCGGGAGCUUGGUUACGGAUUUUGUUAAAACCAUUGUUCCAUUGGUACAUUUAAUCACAGUUCUAUUGCCCUAUUUCCGUGAUCAUAUUCCCCAGUUUUGCAGGUAUUAUUUCCAUGAGGCCAUAGCUAAUGUGGACUUCCUUGUUUCUUGUCAGUUCACCUCCAACGAGAAGGCCGCAGAGAUCUCCAAGUUCUUUGCAACGCGCACAAAGCCUGGAUUCGAGAGGACGCUGAAGCAGAGCCUUGAAACCGUGCGGAUCAGCGCGAGAUGGGCCGAGGGCAUCAGGAGUGAGCCCGGGCUUGCACAGACGGUGCGCGAGCUCCUGGCCAAGCCCUGACGUGCUGCAGCUAGAGUGCUAGGUUACAGUUGUUGUUGGCAAUAAGAAUGCAUUUGUGCCUUAUCAUGUGUGGAAACUGUGGCUUGAGAUGGUAUUUGGUUGUACAUUUGUAGUGGUGGUGGUAGUGAGUCAGCUGAUUGCAGUUUGUAGCCAAAUCAUUUAUUGUUAUGAAUGCAUGUGGUGCAAACGGGUUGUAUGAAGAAUGAGAACAAGGAGGAACUAG
rnacentral:lncRNA from 1 species